UGCAUACACUUGCUUCAUAGUCUUUACCACAUUAUUGACUUACUAACUACAAUUUAUCCAUGCACAUUGCACAGGGUGGACUUGGUGGCGCUCAAGCAUUUGCGAAGUCAGAUAAAUUGGUGAAUAUGCUAAAGAAGCAAAAGGAAUCAAAUAGACCUUAUGGUGCUAUAUGUGCAUCCCCAGCUUUAGUGUUGGAGCCCCAUGGCUUACUCAAGGUACGACCGUUUCUGCUUAAAUUAUUUACUCAGAUUUGGAUCACCCAAUCUGAACUUGAUGAAGGAUUAUGAUGUUGUGUGAUUUUAUGAAUGUGGUCGUAUCUCAUGUAAGUCAGUGAUGAAUUAAUUGGAGUUUGCUGACAAAUUAGAAACUGAAAAACUGCUGCUGCUUCAUUAGUUACAUUACCCAAAGAGUUAAAAUAAACAUCCCAAAUUUUGUCCCAAAUUCUGUCCCAAAUGAUAUGGCAUUUAUUGAGUGAUUGUAUUAUCUAACCAACCAAUUGAUGAAUGUCACAUAAUUUGAGAUGGUUUUUUGGGAUAAAGAAUUUGGGAUUUUUACCCGCAAAAAUCCCAAGUACUUCCUGCUCCUGCAAUAUCAUUGCUGUGUAUUUGCUUUCCCCUUAGACAUAUUCAAUUGUGGUUCAGGGUAAAAAAGCUACAGCUUUUCCUGCUAUGUGCAACAAGCUGUCAGAUCAGAGUGAAAUCGAAAACAGGGUUGUGGUUGAUGGCAACCUCAUCACCAGUAGAGGGCCAGGAACUUCUAUGGAGUUUGCACUGGCAAUUGUGGAGAAGUUUUUGGGCCGCAACAAGGCACUUGAGCUUGCAAAGAUAAUGCUUUUCACUCGCGCCUAACGUUUGUAUGGGGACCUGUCUACUAUUAAACUAGUGUGUUUAUUUCUGUAUUGCUACUGCUUGUAGAGAGGGGAAAUGGAAACUUGAAUUCAUGUUUGAAUAUGGAUUCACUGUGUGGGUUUGUACAGCAGUUUGGUUUAUAAAUAAAUGAGUUCAUGGAGUCACUUCAAAUAUUCGGAAUAAACCUGAGUUUAGAUCUGUUAUCAAUGGUCGGAGUCCAAUUGCGAUCGACUCACUGGGAAUUUUAAUUAUGAAUCAUGUUAUAUUCCACCUUUCUCAUAAAAUGUUAACUCGAUUUACAGGAUAAGAAGGAAAAGAAAGACGCUAAGAGAGGAGCAGACACCCAAAAAGAGUUGACCACUUUGUUGGAACAUAAAUCUCUAGAAUAUUGAAAUAAAACACAUACCAUAUCUAGUAUCAAGUAUGUAUGUGCAAGAAGAUACAAAUUUGAAGAUCAGAUUUCUCAUUUCAAUUUAUGUUCUGCUUAGAGCAAUGGCUCUUAUUCCACAAGCACAAGCAGGAAAGAGUACGCACGAAGUUAAGAAACACACAUUGCAAAAGUUGCAUUAACUACUUGCGGCAACAUCAUCCAAGAACUUGACUUUAAUCUUCUUGAGCUUCGCUGCAGCAUCUGUCAUAUGCAUUCUCUUGUCAGGUGACUCCAUACAACAAUCCAAUGCCAAAUCCAUGAUGCUUAAUAAACAAUCCAUUUUGGCAGAAAAAGCUUGCUCUUCUCGCACCAAAUUUGCGUCAACAACUUCACUCAAUCUGUGAGGUAAUGACUCCUUCACCCAUCUCCUUAAACUCAUUUCUUCUGUGAACAUUUGAUCGGUGGGCCUCUUUCUCGUGAAAGUUUCCAUCAAUAACACACCAUAGCUGUAGACAUCACAUUUGGCUGAAACAAUUCCUUCUAAUCCAUACUCUGCAUUUUUUAAUUUUAAUUAUGAAACAAAUGAUAAAACAAAUAAUUUUUUUGAUAAUUAAGGUAACCCAAACUUUGCUCGUGCUUGAAAAAAGAGCAAAAAUUUUAAUUACAAUUGAAACUUUACCUGGUGCCAUAUAACCAAUUGUAGCCAUUGUCAUGGUUUGUGUCACACAAUCUUCUCCUUCACCUAAGAGUUUGGAAAUGCCGAAGUCGCACACAUGUGCCAUCAUAUUUUCAUCCAAGAGAAUGUUGGUGGGCUUCAAAUCACAAUGAAUUAUAGGUGCCGACGAAUGACCAUGAUGGAGAUAUUCAAGAGCCGACCCCACAUCUAUCAUUAUAUUCAACCUCUCUAGAAUGUCUAAGAAAUAAUUGUAAGAAUACAACCACUUCUCGAGACUACCAUUUGGCAUGAACUCAAGUACCAAUGCUUUGAAAUCUGGAUUAGAACAACUGCUAAGGAUCUUUAUGAGAUUUCGAUGACGAACAUUCCGUAAAACUUCACAUUCAGAAUCAAAACUCCUAAAUGCUCUCUCUAGUUGCAGAUUGAAAAUCUUUAUUGCAACAUUAGUCCCGUCGGAAAUGGUUCCUUUAUAAACUGAUCCAAAACUACCUGUACCCAGCAAGUUACAUUCAUUAAAUUCAUCAGUUGCUCGUUGAAUGUCAAGGUAGGAUGUUCUUCUCCAUGUUGCAAGAGGUAGGAAAUCUUCGUGAUCUGAUUUUUUUGUACUCCUCUUUCGGCAUCUUAUGUACAUAAUGAUGAUAAUCACUAUAAGUACAGAGGAUACUAUCGGAGGCAAAAUAUAUUUAAGGACAAUUAGAGCAACGUUCUUGGUGCUUUUGCUGUCACCUUGUUUGCAAGGUGGGACUCGGAGUUUAGGUGGACCACAGAGUGCAUAAUUUCCGAAAAAUGAUUCAGUUGACAAGUUUUUAAAAGACCCCUUAACAGGAAUUUCCCCUUCUAGCCUAUUAUGAGACACAUUAAAUUGUUUGAGAUGUGACAAUAUCUCCAAUGACUUAGGAAUUUUUCCAGAGAGAUUGUUGCCGGAGAGAUCUAAGGAUUCUAAGCUUAUCAAACUGCCAACUGAUUCAGGAAUAGGUCCCUGAAAUUGAUUACGAGCCAAGGAUAGAGUUUCUAGAUCUAUGAGGGCACCAAUGGUUGAUGGAAUAUCACCUAAUAAUUGAUUCCUUGAUAAAUCUAAAACUGUCAAGACCUUUAACUUUUGUACAUUGGAAGGGAGAGGACCAUUUAAUGAAUUAGACGACAAGUUUAUCUCUAAGAUGUACUCAAGGCUCCACAAGGAUGACGGUAUACUAGAAGUGAGCUUGUUGGAGCCUAAGCGGAGUUCUCUUAGAGAUGUCAAACUCGCCAAGCAUGGCGGUAUAUGUCCAGAGAGCUUAUUUCCAUUUAACCUUAUUCCGUAUAUCAACUCCAAGUGGCAAAGAUCAUAGGGAAUGGAUCCUUCCAAAUUAUUUUCUUCAAGAGAUAAACCUUGUAGCCGCUUAAGUCUUCCCAUCGUUGGUGAAAUAGUUCCAUUCAAGUCAUUGAAGCCGAGGCUUAAGAGGAUCAGGCCACGCAACUUACCAAUUUCUUUAGGAAUGCUGCCCCCGAGUUUGCAGUUGGAUGCAUAAAAUUGUCGAAGAGAAGCAGAGAAAUUUCCAAUCACUGGUGGAAGGAUGCCACCCAAUGGAUUAUAAGCUAAGGCUAAAAAUGUUAAAUUUCUGCAAUUAGUCAGAGAAGAGAGAAAACUCCACUGAUCUGCUGAAGAUGAUUCUGUCGUCAAGUUAUUAAAUGCUAAGCUGAGCACGUCGAGGUGUCUCAAGUUGCCAAAUGUAUUUGGAAUAUGGCCCGAGAAUGAGUUGAAGCCCAAGUCUAGGGCAACGAGUUUAGUAGCAUUGGUGAUAGAGUGGGGAAUUAUCCCUAUAAGAUUAUUGGCCGACAAGGCUAAAUACUCUAUGUUCGGAAGCGAGUGGCCAAUCGUUGACGGUAAGCGGCCUGAGAGUUGAUUGCCCCCCAGAGUAAGGAUUCUCAUGGUUGAAAUGUUGAAGAUCGUGGGUGGAAUGAGGCCACUUAAAUUGUUGUCAGCAAAAACAAGAACCUCCAAAUUUUCCAGAUUGCCAAUCUCGGUUGGAAUUUGACCUGCCAUCAGGCCAACAUUGAGGAGUCAUUGAGCUUUUAGCUUAAGGUAAAUUGAGUUUGACAAUGUUACCCUUGAAAAUGUAAAAGGAUCAAAUUAAUUUUAUUACACAAUAAUUUCAGCCAAUAAUGUUCUUUACACAAUAAUUCUGCAAAAUAUGCAUGCAAAUGGAAAAAUAUGCUUCAAUUACAAGAGGUGGUGGAGCGUACCUCGAAGAUUGCUGAAGCUAAGAUCCAGAUACACGAGUUUACUCAAAUUUCCAAUCCUUGAAGGAAUAUUUCCACCAAUAGUAUUGAACUCUGCACGCAGCGUCUCUAGCCUUGAUAAGUUGAAGAGAGAAUUAGGGAUGGGACCUGUGAAACUGUUAUUAUAAAGUCUCAAUAUUCGGAGUUUAGAUAAGACACCAAUCCAUGAUGGAAAGCUUCCGCUCAAUUUAUUGUAAGCGAAACUCACGACUCUGAGUCGACGUAAUUGCCCCAAUUCUUUCGGCAGAUGGCCAUGAAAAUUGUUCUCACUAAUGUCAAGAGACACUAGAAAUGAGAGAUUUCCCAAGUGUAGUGGAAUGGUGCCUCCGAGACCCAUAUCUGAAAGAUUCAAGGCAGUGACUCGUUGAUGGCGUGAACCACAAGAGAUACCAACCCAGCUACAUAUUGGAUAAGAUAUAGACCAAUUAUUUGCCAGGGCACUCCGAUAAUCAAGAAUGUGGGCUUUGAAUGCCAGAAGAGCUGAUUGAUCUGUUGUUAAAUCGUUUAAAGUCGUCACAGCUAAGCUAGCAAUGAGAUACUGUAACACUAACACCGACAUAGGAACAAAGAAGAAUGAUAAGCGCAUAUUGGUCGUUUUUAGUAGUAGUUGCAAGGCGAGAUUGAUACAAGUUUUAAGUAAAGGAAAUUAGCAUAUACUUAUAAUGAGACAUAUGAAUUUGAAAAUAAGAGCAGAAAAAAUAUACAGGAGACUUGCAAAUUGUUAUAUUCUGUCAUUGAGCGAGCCGUCCAAGUAAACGCAUUUACACUUGAACCCUAAAUAAAGGCCUUAUGGCACUUUAAUUGCCAUAAGGAAGAAGAUGCUCAACAUUGCCAAAAGUGUUUUUCUUGAAGUCUCGUCUUCCGUAAUGUUUGUAAAAUCGAGGUUUUACCAUCUCUAAUUAAAUAUUUACUCUUGAUUUAGACCACGUAAUCUAAACUUGACGAAAAAUUAUGAUCUUAUGUGAUUUUAUGAAUGUGGUCUUAUCUCUUAUAAGUCGGCAAUGAAUUAAUUAAAGCUUGCUGACAAAUUACAAGCUCAAAAAUAUCUUUUACUUAUUCACAAUCUUAUUUCAUUUUUUUAUAACAUAAUAUUAAAAAUUUGUCUAUUAAAUUAAUUUAAUAAUUUUUUUAAUAAAAAAUCUCAUUGACGACCAAACAACUAAUUUUUUUUUUAUAAAAGCUUUGCUUGUUAAAAUUAUGCUGAAAAAAACUCUACUUAAGUAAGUUCUAUUUUUUUUAUAAAAGCCAUUUUAUUUCUUUAUCUUUUUUAAUUAUUAUUGGAAAAGUAGCGCAGCUUAUCAAAAAAGGAAAGAAAAAAAAAAGUCAAAGUGACGAGUGGCUUGUUUUUUAAUUUCAAAGUCAAUGCAAAGUAAAAGUACCGAAAUAAUCAGUUUUUAAAUCCAAAUAAGUGGCAAUAAAGGGAGGUCUUGUUAGGGGUGUUCGCGGAUCGAAUUUUAUGGAUUGGACAUCAAUCCAUAUUCGAUCCACGAUUUUACGGAUUAUAAAAUUUCAAUCCAAUUCAAUCCACGGAUUUGUAAAAUUCAAUCCAAAUCCAAUCCAUAAAUCUGCGGAUCAGAUGCAAAUUUGACCUAAUCCAUAUCCAAUCUACAAUUUUGCGGAUUGGUUUGUGGACUGAAAAUUUUUAAUUCUGUCAAAUCCACGAACUAACUAAAUAAAAAAAUUUAAUAUAAAAAUAAUUUUACUACGGAUCAAAUUUAAAAUUAAAUAAGAUUUAAAUAAAUAAAUUGCUUAAAUAAAGCUAGCAAAUACAUUUAAAGUUUCAAAAUAUAACACACCAAAAUGAAAAAAAUAUCAUUCGUUUUAGAUCAAGGAAAUUAACUAUUUAGUAAACUAUAUUUGUUUAUUUAAUUAUUUUUUAUUUUUUAUUAUUAUCGGAUAUGAUAUAAUAUAAUGUUAAUGUAACUAUAUUUUAACUUAUUUAUUUACUAGUAAGUACUAAUAACAUAUUUACAAGUUUUAUUUUUAAUUAAAUAAAUACUUUUUAUUUUUUUGCGGAUUCGCGGAUUUUUACCGAUUUACAGAAGUAGAUCCAUAUCCAAUCCACUGAUUGCGGAUUAUCAAAUUUUCAAUUCAAUCCAAUCCACCAAUCCACGGAUCAGACGGAUUGAGCAGAUCGAAUUAGAUUAUGAACACCCUUAGGUUUUGGUGUGCAUUGUUGAAAACUUGGAAGUCUAUAUGACCAUUUAACCAAACUAUAGGGGUAUAACUGUCACAAAUUUUUAAAAAUAAAUUUUACCAAACAUUUAAAUGAUUUUUUUUUCACAAUUGAUUAUUAAAUUCUAAGUGUUAGACUAUUGUAAGAAUACAAAUAAUUGACAUGGACAUAAUAUUAAAUAAAAUUUACUUAUAUAUAUAUAUAUAUAUAUAUAUAUAUAUAUAUAUAUAUAUUAUUGUUUGUAUAUAAAAAUUGCUAACUAAAAAAUAUUUAUAUUUUAUCAAUUUUAUUUCUUUUAUUUUUUUAUCUCAAGAUAAAUAUAAUAAUAACAAUCUCUCUAAAUUUAAUUAUUUUUGCUCUUUAUUGAAUAAGGAUAAUUUUGAGUUUCUGUAAUAUAUGUGAGGAUAUAUAUAAAAUUGUAUUAAAUAUAUAACUAUUCUCAAAAUUAAAUUUUAAAAAACUAGUUCAUUCUCACUUUUCAUUUAAUUAGGCAAAUGGCCACAGAAAUUGUUCUCCCUCAUAUCCAAAUAAACUGAAAACGAGAGAUUUCGUAAGUGUGGAGGGAUGAUGCCUUCGAAACCCAUCACUGAAAGAUUCAAGUUUGUGACUCUAUGGUAUGAGCACCACAACAUAUGCCAAUUCGACUGCAUAUUGAGUAAGACAUGGACCAAUUAUUCAAGAGAUUCAUGAGCCUUCGAAGUGAGAAAUAAAGCAAAUUAUGUGGUGGUCGUGGGUCAAUUGACUACGUUUCGUGAUCUACGUGCGAUUGCAACAGUCGGUUCAUUAAGUGAAAUUAAUGACUCGUCCACUAUAGUAAGAUACUGUCCUCAUUAGGUUGGUGCUGGGUCAAUUUUAUCCAUGAGUCAACUUACAUUAAUUUGAAUUAAUUUAUAAGAGUAUCUCAUUUUCGUUGAUUACGAGUUGUGAUCGAUGACAUGCACGAAAGCAGUCAAUUUACAGGUCAUUCACUAUAUAUAUGGGGUCUAUGGGUGGAUGGAUCUAACGUAAAUUAAGGGUUGAUGAUGACCCUCGACUUCUAACGACGACCAUCGAAGACGACCUUGACUUUACAUGCAAACACACAAUUCGCUCUCAUACAUUAUGUUUUAAAAUUUCUCCAUUUUCCGGGGCCCCGCUGUCGACCGUACACAGUUUAAUUUGUAUAUACAAGACCUCAUUGUUUCUAGCAAGCAUAGAGCCAUAGACCAUAUUAAUUCCAAUUACAUAAAUCUUCAUUUUUAUCAUGAUUUUGGAUCUCGAGCAGUGUGGAUAUAUCCAACCAGAUCCGCCUCACUGGCAUCCCAAUAUAUUUUAGAAUUGAGUAAUGAGUAUCAAUAAAUGUGUAAUUGUAAAUCUACAACGUUUAAUUUUAAUUUGAGGACUCAAAUGAAUUUAUCCAACAAUACCUCGUUAAAUUAAUAUUCCAUAAAUUUUUAACUUUAAUUAAAUAACAAAUUUUGUCCGUCCCAACUUAGGAUUAACGUGGUAAUUAAUAAUUUGAUAAAUUGUUAGAUAAUAAUUUUUUAAAAAAAUCUUAUUUUUUUAUUGGAUCAAACUGAUAUAUAAAUGAAUAAUUAAUUAAUUUUAAAACUAAAUUCAUGUUAUGUCAAUCAAAUGUUAUUGCAAAGAAGACUAGCAGCGACGCUUUGAAAGGUACACCAAAGCCUUUUGCACCUUCUCCUCCGUGACCACCAAUAGAUACUUCCACCAUUUCAACGUCAUGACAUGAUGUAAGUUUCUUUUGUAGAAUUUGCGAAUUGGUAAUCUUUUACACGCGUAUAUUUAUAUCAUUGUAUAGUUAUAGAUUCAAUUACUUUUAUGAUGCAUUUAUUAAUUUGGAAUUGAAGUAGACAAGAAUGGGCUGUAAUGUGAAUGGAGAAUCGAAAUUAGAAUAAGUUAUUUACUUGAACUGUAGAAAUCGAAAUGAGUUGGAUUGUCAUUAAUGUGUUUACUUUGUCUUGGAAUCAGAAUUGAAAUAAGUUAGUUUAUAACAAAUUACUAAAAACUACUUAAUGAACUAUUGUUAUAAUUAUUAUUUUGUAUUUUAAUUAUUAUGAUUAUUUAUUAAAAAUUAUUAUUGUUAUUAUUACUUAUUGUUAAUAGUAUAUUAAUAUAUUAAUAAAUUAUAAUAAUAUAUUAAAUAACUAUAAUAUAUUAAAAAAUAUACUUGUAUUUACAAGAAAUGACUGAUAAAAUUUCUAAAAUCGUCUUCCUCCCUAAAACUCUUAAUGCCACAGCCCUAAAAAUUAAAAAGAUUUGGGAAUUAUAUGUCUUUUUUAAAAUAUUAAAGGGUGUUUAUUUCCUUAAACGGUGGGGACUAAAAGUCCUAUUCCCAAACGAGUAGUGUGCCGGCGUUGGAGGCUAGAAAGACAAUUUGUUACAUUGCUUCAGAAGUGCUUAAUGGAAAUUUUGGUGAGGCAUCACAUAAUUUAAAGGAUCAGGCUACGGUGCAACUGUGGUACCGUACUACAGUUGCAUCCAGCCGUUUUAAUUCACUUAUAUUGGUGAGGUUCACUGGCAUCCAACGGCUGAAUGCAACUAUGGCACGGUACCACAGUUGCACCACAAGUUUCCCCUAAUUUAAAUUACUGGAAUUUGCAUCAAUGGUUUUUAUUGGUUUAUUUACUCGUCAACAAAUUACUGUAACUGCAGAAAACAGUGUAACACAUUGUAUAAUACGUUAAUACGUUAUAUUGGUCAGUGCUCCUACCAAGGAAAUCUUUUUAAGUUUUGUUAGCAGAAUAUUCUUGUAAGGGUGGAGGCAUAAGAGAUUAAUAAUUUAAUAUCUCUUGUUCAUUAGAAGAUUUUUUUUUUUUGGGAAAAAAAAAGAAGAAGAUGGUUUGUUUAAUGUUGAUAAAUUUUGAAGUACAAUUUUAUAGAUGUCGAAUGUGGGCAAAAAGUAAAGAAGCUCAAACACUUUUCUACAUCUAAACUAAUCAUUAGGAUUUAUAUUAACUAAUAAACCCUAAUAAUACGAGCGUUCAUAAAAACUUCAUAUGAACAUUGAACCAGCAUGGCAUCAUAUUGUAAUAAGUUGUACAGCUGUCAAUCUCUUAUUAGUCAGAUAUAUUCUGAGUUAGUUACAUGAAUGUAGUAUAAAUAUCAUACUCUGUACACAUUCUUAGUUAGUUACUUCAGUAGAAUUUUCUCUCCUCUACUCAAUUUUUAAGUUAUCUUUUAUAUUGGGGGCAAAUGAUAUUUUAUUAACGAAAUGAUUUUGCCCUCUUAAUAAGCUCUCAUUUCUCCGCUUUGAUCAACACAGCCUUCUUUUAUUACAUCAAAAUUCUUCCUCUUUCCAUCAAAAUUUCAUGGAUCUGCCCUUACGUAAAAUCAUAUGAGAGUAUAUAAUAAAAUUAAUUAGGUAUGUUUGGAACAUUUUUGGUAUCCUUAAGCUGAUUUUAUUUUUAUUUUUUUAUAGUAUAUAUUGUCAAAAGUAAAUGCUAUAAACACUUUCGGAAAAAAAGAUGAAGAGCACCUUUGGAGUAAUUUUUUCUAUAGGAACUAACAAAACAACUAAAUGAUGUAUGUAUCUCUAAGAUUUAUUAUUAUUAAUUUUUUUUUCUGUAGUUGACAAAGCAUCAUGAUUGUGUUGGAUGAUAAGAUUAAAGGUGGGAAUGGUCCGAAUGGACCAAUUUUUUAGGAUAAAAAAAAAAAUGAUUCAAUCCUGGGCAUGUUUGGCUAUCGAAACUAGUUGAUUAGUCUAAAGUUUAAUUCAAAAGUAAUGGGACUAUUAAUCCUUAGGAAAAUUAUCAUUUGUAUACUCUAUAGAUGCUCUGUUAUAUAAAAAAUUACAACACUUUGAGAGUGUAUCAAUCGUCCACCCUAAGUUGACAAAAUAUAUCUGCCGUCCAUCAAACCGUUACUUGCUGUUUAAAUAGGAUAGCGCCAGAGGGGUAAUUUGGUCUUUUCAUAUGAUACAAGUGAUAAUUCAAGGGUAUACAAGUGAUAAUAAAAGAAUUUAAAGGUAUACAAGUGAUACUUUUCAAGGGUAAAAUCAUCAAUUCGCUAUAAUUCCGUUAACUUUCAAACGACAGCUAACGGUUUAGUGGUCGGCAGAUAACUUUUUUCAAUUUAGGGUGGACGAUUGAUACACCCUCAAAGUGUUAUAGUAUUUUUUAUAAUAGAACAUCUAUAGGGUAUACGAAUGAUAAUAUCCCUAAUCAAUCCUUAAUUCAACUUAGGUUUAAGUAGUAUAUAAAAAAUCUUCUUUAUCACUCUUUUCAUUUUUAUUUAGAUUAAAAUUCAUAUAAAUAAAUAUAAAGAAUUAAUUUCAUAAUUUAUUUAAACUAAAAUUUUAUAUUAUAUUAAAUAUCCAAAUUUUAAUUCAAUAAUUUAUUUAUAUUAGAAUUUUAUGCAAUAUUAAAUCCCAAAACUUUAUUUAAUAAUUUAUUUACAAAAAUAUUAAUAUCAAAUUCAACAAUUAGUAAUAUAAUUUAAAAUAAUUACACUAUUUUAAUAGUUAUUUAGCUAUAUUAAAUUAAAUUUAACAUAUCCUUGUCCGAUACUAUACUAAACAAACGAUAGUACCUUAUAUAGUAUAGUCAAUCUAUUAUAAUAUAAUUCAAUCUAAUCGAACGUGCCAAAUCAGUACAUUUUAAAAAAUAAUUUUAUAACAGCUUUAAAAAAGCAUUUUUUAAGUUACUUUUACAAAAUGUGCUUUCUCCGAAAGCACUCGUGAAAUGCAAAUUCUCACAAAACACGUGGUGUGUUCAAUUGGGCCUCCGCCCAUUAAAACUACAACCAUGAAAGCAAGCAAUGUUCAUUGGGCUUUAUUCUCUCGAGAAAACUUAUACACGUAGCCCACCACCGGCGCCCUAAUUUGUCUCCACCUCUCUAAAUAGAGUUGGACUAUUGGCACCUUUCCAAAAUUCUUCUGAAAUUCCUUUUUCAAUAAUAUUAAGUUUAAUGCUAAAAAUAUCCUUAUUUCCAAAUAAAUACAUUUAAUUUGUGAAUAUUUUAAUUUUCUAUUAUUUUCUCGCUCCUCACAAACAAAUUUUUAUGGGCGAUAAACUUCUUGAUAAAAAUCAAUUAAUUAAAUAAAAUAUCUAUAAGAUUAUAAUGUAAAAAAUUUUAUUAUGAGUCUUAAAAAAAGACAGAUAAAUUUAUCAGAAUGUGUUUUGUUUAUUAUCAAUAGAUUAUUUUAGUAAUUAAAGAAAAAUUUAUAGAGAAUUUGAGAAAAAAAAUUACGUGUGAGUUUGAUAGCAAAGAAAAUAUAAGAGUUUUUUUUUAAGAGAGAAAAUACAAAAGUUUGAAGUGAGAUAAAAUAGAUAUAAGAUAUAUUAGAGUAUUUAUCCUUAAAUUUAAUUGUAACAAAAGAGAGGUUUUAAAAAGAUUUUGGAGGAGUGUCUCCAACUCCUCUAAAUAUUAUUGAUUGAUGCAUAUGUUUCACAGCAUAGAGUGGCUUACAUUGGAGCUUUUCUAAAAAAAUGAAAAUUUCAUUUAAUUAUUUAUUAUUCACGGAUAAGAAAUUAACUUCUUCUUUUUUCUAACGCCACAGUCUGGUGAGCUUGCCUAGUGUGUUUUAGUUGGAUAAAAAUUUUAGCAAAUGCUUCUUGGCAAGGAAGCUUAAAUAGUUUAACCUGAAUUUAACCUCGAAUGAACCCAAAUUAUUAAACCGAACCAAUCCGAAUUGUGAAUCUGAAUUUCAGUUCGAUUCAGUUUGGUUCAGGUUCGUAUUUUCAACUCGAACAAGUUUAAUGCUCCAAUUCGAUCAGGUUGUAACCUAAACCGAAACUCGAAAACCCGAACUGAAACUCAAUUUGGCCACCCCUAAUGAGAACUGAGAAGUACCUGGAUCGUAAAAGAAAGGUUUUGAUGAUAAUUUUGGCUAAAAAUCUGUUUCUUAACUUCUAUUUUUAUUUUUUUAUGCUGUAUUUUAGUUGCUGAAUAGGUUAUAUAUAGAAGUUCAGUUAAUUUUGUUUUGGAUGAAAAAUCAAUGAGUACUUCUGUGAUUAAUAAGUGAAAUUUUGUUUGCAUCAUAUAGUCAGCUAUAAUGCAUUGGAUGGCUUUGACUCAGCAUGGAAGAAAUGCUCUCCGGCAGAUUACUAAAGAGAGCUCUGAUCGCGUGUUGCAUCACCCAUUGCUAUUUUCUUGUCAAGGAGUCAGAUACAGACGAUUGGAAGUGAUUCUAACAACAAUGAGUAAAUUGAUCUUUUGUUUUCCCUUUUCACCAGUUUGGAUCUCUUGACUAAUCAGCCUGUUUGAGUUUUAACUUGUGUAUUAAUGAUUGGUUUUAUAUGUUCAGAAAGUUGACAAGCUUGGUAAAGCCGGUGAAACUGUGAAGGUUGCUCCGGGGUAUUUCCGGAACCACUUGAUGCCCAAAUUGCUUGUUGUUCCAAAUAUCGAGAAGUUGGCUCAUCUCAUUAGAGAGCAGCGCAGGUAUUUGUUUUUCAUGAUUCUUCUCGGUUGAACUUUUUUUGUUUGGGUUGAGAAUGGUUAAUUCUAGUGAUACAGAAAUUUGCUCAUUUUCUUUAGAUACUUUGUUUAGCCAGUUUGUCAAUUAAUUUGACUCAUGGCUUCAAAUUAUUGCUAAAUUCUCAGUUUGGAAAUAUUUGUGAUUUUUGAAGGGGCAUUACAAGUUAUUAAAGUUUGUUGUGCCUGUGACUUAUUUUCAUCAGAUUUGCCAGCCUGAGGAAGAGGAAGAGGAAGAGGAAGAGGAAGAGGUUAGAGUUAUCCGGAAGUCUGAGGACAAUAUGAGUAGAGAAUUUGAGAAGGCAGCUAGGCGCCUAGAGAAUGCUCGACUGGUUUGUGGCCUAUCUUUUAAUUUCUUCAGAUUCGGGACAAAUUGUCUUGGAGUGAACUGAUGUGUUGCCUUUUCCUUUUUUUUUAGCUUGAAUGAUCUAUUUGCUACAGUUAGGAGUGAACGUCGUAAUGAAUUUUAAAUUAUACUGUUUGUUUCGAUUUACUUUUCUAUCUUAGCUCCAUCAAGUGAUUAGUGGAAUGCUGGUCCUGUGAGUAUAAAAUGAAACUCCUUAAGUUAAAUUCCUUAGGCUGUGUUUAUUUUCUGUAGUGGGAGCGAGGAGUGUAAAUUCUUUUCAUUUCAGUAUUUAUUUCAACAAAUUGGCUCCGGAUUGAGAAUCCCACUCAGUAGACCCCACCCAUUUUUGGAGUGAGAUUCCCAUGGGGAGAGGUGGGAGUGAGAUUCCCACUCCCACCUCUCCCUUUUUUUACAUUUUUUUUAAUUUAAUUUAAUUUAACUUAAUUUAAUAUUUAAUAAAAUAAAAUAAAUAAUAUCAUAUUUAUUUGAAUAAUAUUAUUAUAUUUAUUUUAAAAAUAAUAAUACUAUAUUUAUUUAAUAUUAAUAAUUAAUAAUAAUAAAUAGUUUAUUCUAAGAAAAUAUUAAUUUUGUCCUAAAUAAUAUUAUAUUAUUAUUUUAUAUAAUAAUAAAUUUAAUAUAAUUAUAUUAAAUAAAAUAAAAUAAUGUUUCAUUUUAUAUUUACCCUUCUUUUUUACCCUCUUUUUAUUAAAUUUACUAUAAUUAUAUUUAAUAAAUAUUUAAAUAAUAUUAUAUUUAUUUAAAUAAUAUUAAUAUAUUUAACUAAAUAAUAAUUUGGUUUGAUUCUAAGUCUAAAUUACUUAAAAAUAAUAUUAUUAUAUUAAUACAGAAUUAAUAAUAUUACUUUUAUACCAUCUUUAUUUGAAAAUAUAUUAUUAUUAUUAUUAUAUUUAUUUAAAAAUAUUAGUAUUAUAUUUAUUUAAUAUUAAUAAUUAAUACUAAUAAAUAGUUUAUUCUAAGAAAAUAUUAAUUUCAUACUAUGUUAAUAGUAAAAUAUUUCAUUUAUAUUGCCCUUAUCAAUAAUUUUUAAUUUAUAUAAUUAAAAUUAAAAUUAAUAAAAAAAUGUGAUGUUCAUAAUUAAGAAUAUUAAUAAUUAUUAUAAAUUUACAAAUAUAAAUGUUUAUUCAUUAAAUAUAUUUUUUAUUAACUUUGUAAUUAAAAACUAUAAUUCUUUAAAUAAGGAUAAAAUUGUAAUUUGAAACUAUUUACUCCCAAUCCGAGACAAACUAAACACAUAAAUUGAAUUCUGAUCUCCAUUCCAUGCUUUCAUUUUAGUGUAAGUAAACAACAUACUCCCACUCCCAAUCCUAAGAUUCCCACUCCAAUUCAAAAAGUAAACGCUACCUAAAUACAAGUAAUCUUGCUUUCAGAUAUGAAUUAUCUGAUGGAUGUUGUAUUUUCAAGGUAUUGAGGAGAUUCCCCAAUAUUGAAAAAUUGCGUUCCCGUGCAUCAAAAGAUGAUCCCAUAGAAUUGCGUUCACCUGUGACAAAAGAGGAGCUUGUAGUUGAGGUAUGGAUUUUUAUAUUUCUUGGUUGUUUUUAUACUUGUUUCUCAUCAUAAUAGCAAAAGCAGUUUGUUCUGAGUGAUCUGUGUGGUCUCCUAUCAAUGACUGCCGUUUCUAUCAUUUAGUACUAUUGACUAUGUGUGUAUAAAUAUUUUGUUUUUACCAUGUAAUUUCAUAUUCGAUGCAUUUCUAAUACAUUGCAUAGCGUCCAUGAAUGGGAAUGAUAAAAUAAAUUUCAAGCGUGUUUCAAUAGAUGAAAAAACUUGGAACGAUUUAGAAGGAUUUGCUGAUUAAAUAAUUUUCCAAUUUGUUUGCUUGGAGGAAUUGAAUAGUUAACUGAUUAAAGGAUUUCAAGGUGGUUCGGUCCCGCUGGGCAUUGUCAAUAUCAACGGUCAUUAAUUCCUAUUAUCUGAAAUUGAAUUUCCAGUGUGGCAUGGUAACUUUCUGCUAGGGUGUGAUUGUAUAGUAGCCAAUUGUGAGCAACAGAUCCGCAUAGUAAUAUAGAUUGAAAUUUUGCAUCUUAAUCCAUGAAGAUAUAGAUUUUGGCAAUAUUAUACAAGCACUGGGGAUUACCUUAAAUAUUCUGGACUUGUCAUUGAUAGAGUUUCUUUUACCUAGUUAUUGAUAUUUCUUUCAAUUUUCUAUUUUACUCAUACAAUUUAUACAAUUUUAGGUGGCAAGACAACUUUCGUUUUCUAUUGAGCCUGAAAACCUGCAUCUACCAUCACCUCUAUCUGCUUUUCGAGAAUAUGAGGUUCCUAUGCGCUUACCCAAAGCCAUCCCCCUACCGGAAGGAAAGGUCCAAUGGAUUCUCAAUGUUAAAGUCCGCGGCAAAUAAAUAUUUUUUAGUUAAUUUUUUAAUCAAUAAAAAAAGGUAAUUAAAAAUGUAAUUAAUAAAUUACUUAUUAGCAAAUUAAAAAACAAAUAUUAGCAUAAAAUAAUUGAUAUUUCAUUCUCUUACAACAAUCUUACCAAUUAUUAUUUAUAAAUUAAUUAAUGCAAGUUAAUUUAAAGUAAUGUUUAAUAUUCUUGUAACAACCUUACUAAUAAUUUUUUGAUAAAAAAAUUAAUUUAUUAAAUUAAUCCUAGAAGUAAAAUAAUAAUAAUUAAUUUGUAUUUUAUUUUUAAGAUUAAUUUGAUAAAUUUAAUUUUUUUUAACUAAUAUCUCCAAGAAUAUAGUUGUAACGAUAUUAUUACAAAAGGAAAAAAAAUAUAAGAUUAUAAUAUAUUUACCAGUAAGAAUAAUUUAAAAUAUUUUUUAAGAUAUAAAAAUUAAACGGACACUUAAUUAAAAAAAAAAAAAAAAAACUAAAUAAGUAGUUAGCUUUUAACAUUUCAACCUAGUGGUCAUACAAUCAUGGUGCGGCCCGGGAUGGCUGGCCCAGCCCAUCAUGUAAAAAUCCAUGUCACCCUCAUUCUUAAGCUGCUACUCUGCCACUUGCCACGGAGCUCCCCACAUCAUACCGUACCGAUGCCUCUAGAAAGCUAACUUUAAAAAAAUGGUAUUAAUAAGCGUACGCCACGUCACUCCUCACUCUCUUCUUCGUCACUUUCCUCUCACUCAACAUUUUCUCCCCAAACAAAUUCCUUCUUUGAAAAAUCGCAUUUUCUCCUUCACAGCAACCGCUACAAUGUCUUCAACUUCCAAGAAGGUAAUUUUUUUAAAUUUUAUUUUUUGUUUAGUUUCUUUCUGUUGCCUUUUUGUUUCGUUUUUUGAAUUUUCUGUGUCGUUUUUUUUUUCCCAAGGUUUUGGUGCCUGUUGCGAACGGGAGUGAGCCGAUUGAAGCCGUGAUAACGAUCGAUGUUUUGAGAAGGUCUGGAGCUGACGUCACGGUUGCGUCUGUGGAUAAACAGCUUCGUGUCGACGCGUGUCAUGGUGUCAAGAUUGUCGCUGAUGCUCUCGUGUCUGACUGCCGCGACGCUGUUUCUGAUCUUAUAGCUCUGCCCGUAUGUAUUGCAGCUCACCUCAGCUCAUGCUAAUUUAUGUGAUGUUUGUAUAAUUAUAGAUGAUUACUGCUGAUACUGAAUGUUAAAGCUAAAUAAUUCGUUCUUAAGUCAUCUUCAUUUAAUUUUCGAUUGAAAAUGAAAAAAAAAAUAAUUUUAAGCAAAGAAAAUGUUUAUUUUGUUUUAUUUUUAUUUUUAAAUUUUUGGGAUUUCCUUAUUGUGACUGUUGUCAUUCAUUAUAUGGUCCUAGUUAAAUGUUUCAAGUUGUUGUAGUCUGUGAAACUCUUUUCGAUAUUUGUUCUGGCAUGUACAUUUUUCCUUUCAAUUUAUUUUGUUGCUGAUACUUUGAUUAUGAUAUAUCCUUUUUUGUUUCCCUUGUAGGGUGGCAUGCCCGGUGCUACCAAUCUGAAAGAAUCUGAAGUAUUAGAAACCAUUGUGAAGAAGCAGGCUUCAGCUGGGCGUCUUUAUGCUGCUGUCUGUGCUUCACCUGCUGUGGCAUUAGGGUCUUGGGGUCUGUUGAAGGGAUUGAAGGUAAGAAUUAGAUAAGCCUUUUUUUAUGUUUGGUGUUCUUUUGGGAAUUGCAUUGAUAUUUGUGUUAUACAUCAGUUUUGCUCUCACCGAUGAUUGUUAAGUUCUAAUUUAUGGGGUUAUUCAUUUUUUGUAGGCUACUUGUUACCCGUCAUUUAUGGAGCAAUUAGCUCCUGCUUGUGCAGCAACUGUUGAAUCAAGAGUACAGCAGGAUGGUAAAGUUGUUACGAGUCGUGGACCUGGCACUACUAUGGAGUUUGCCAUUGCACUUGUCGAGCAGUUGUAUGGGAAAGAGAGAGCUGAUGAAGUUUCUGGGCCACUGGUAGUAACUUUUAUAGAUAAUGUUGUUUAAAAAAAUUGUGAGUUAUAUAAUUUGUGGAAAUUCAUUCUAAUAGGUUCAUCUAGUAUGUCAAAUUGGAAGGUUCAGAUGCUAAUAUAUUCCAAAAAAUUUGUUCAGGGGAAAAGUAUGACUUUUUGCAUUAGAGAUUCAUUAGAUGAAGUUGUAUACCUGCUGGCCCAUCUUAAUGUGGUGAAAACGAUGUCUGAUGAGACUGAUAUAAUUAUUGGAAUCUUGAUAAAUGCAUUUGUUGAGCUUGAAUGUCUCCACUGAUCACGUUCUUUUUAAUGUAAGUUCUUUCUCUUGGUAUUUGUCUUUGAAUCUUCUCUUCCUCAUGCUUUCGUCUUCACUGUCACCUUGUGCCUAGGUAAUGCGUGCAAAUCAUGGAGAUGAAUACACUAUUGCUGAAUUCAAUCCAAUUCAGUGGACAUUUGACAAUUCUCCCCAAGUAAGAUUUGACUUCUAGUUUCUUGUAGUUGUUUUUCUUCAUCCGAUGUUUUCAGGGAUACCCAUUUGGCAGUAUAUAAAAGUCUGUGAUAUCUUCUAUACAUAUACAUCAUUGGCUUCAGUCAUUUUCGAACAUAUUGGAGGUAGUAGAUGUAUUUUUAUGAUAUCUCUAAUAAAAUCCCAAGUUUGAUCAAUUACAAAAGAAGUAUGAGCGGUGCUGGACCGGGGGGGAAGAAGAAGUGGGGGGUCGGUGUGGUGGGGGUGUGCAGUGCAUGAAUAAAAGGAAAUGAUAGGGGGUGAAAGUUUGUGCUACCGACAUGCUGUAAAAUGGGGACAUAAUAUUUCAAAUUAGAUAUUGUGUGAUCCUUAAUAUUGCUGACUUUUGCUUAAAAUGGAAUUCUUGAUAACUUCAAAUGUUAAAGUUCUUGGUGAAAUUUUGUACUUUCUUUUCUUUCAGAUUCUUGUGCCUAUUGCAAAUGGUUCAGAGGAGAUGGAAGCUGUUAUGAUAAUUGAUAUUCUGCGACGAGCUAAAGCAAAUGUUGUAGUUGCAUCAGUUGAGGAUAAACCAGAAAUUCUGGCUUCUCGUCAAAUUAAAUUAGUGGCAGAUGUGCUCAUUGAUGAGGCGGCUAAACUCUCGUAUGAUUUAAUUGUCUUGCCAGUGAGUUGGGGUGCUUACUGUUGCUUCAUAGUCUUUACCACAUAAUUGACUUACUAACUACAAUUUAUCCAUGCACAUUGCAUAGGGUGGACUUGGUGGCGCUCAAGCAUUUGCGAAGUCAGAGAAAUUGGUGAAUAUGCUAAAGAAGCAAAAGGAAUCAAAUAGACCUUACGGUGCUAUAUGUGCAUCCCCAGCUUUAGUGUUGGAGCCCCAUGGCUUACUCAAGGUACGACCAUUUCUGCUUAAAUUAUUUACUCAGAUUUGGAUCACCUAAUCUGAACUUGAUGAAGGAUUAUGAUGUUGUGUGAUUUUAUGAAUGUGGUCUUAUCUCAUGUAAGUCGGUGAUGAAUUAAUUGAAGUUUGCUGACAAAUUAGAAACUGAAAAACUGCUGCUGCUUCGUUAGUUACAUUACCCAAAGAGUUAAAAUAAACAUCCCAAAUUUUUUGUCCCAAAUUCUGUCCCAAAUGAUAUGGCAUUUAUUGAGUGAUUGUAUUAUCUAACCAACCAAUUGAUGAAUGACACAUCAUUUGAGAUGGUUUUUUGGGAUAAAGAAUUUGGGAUUUUUACCCGCAAAAAUCCCAAGUACUUCCUGCUCCUGCAAUAUCAUUGCUGUGUAUUUGUUUUCCCCUUAGACAUAUUCAAUUGUGGUUCAGGGUAAAAAAGCUACAGCUUUUCCUGUUAUGUGCAACAAGCUGUCAGAUCAGAGUGAAAUCGAAAACAGGGUUGUGGUUGAUGGCAACCUCAUCACCAGUAGAGGGCCAGGAACUUCUAUGGAGUUUGCACUGGCAAUUGUGGAGAAGUUUUUUGGCCGCAACAAGGCACUUGAGCUUGCAAAGAUAAUGCUUUUCACUCGCACCUAACAUUUGUACGGGGACCUGACUACUAUUAAACUAGUGUGUUUAUUUCUGUAUUGCUACUGCUUGUAGAGAGGGGAAAUGGAAACUUGAAUUCAUGUUUGAAUAUGGAUUCACUGUGUGGGUUUGUACAGCAGUUUGAUUUAUAAAUAAAUGAGUUCAAAGAGUUACUUCAAAUAUUCGGAAUAAACCUGAGUUUAGUUCUGUUAUCAAUGGUCGGAGUCCAAUUGCGAUCGACACACUGGGAAUUUUAAUUAUGAACUAAAAAAUUGUUAUGUUAUAUUCCACCUUUCUCAUAAAAUGUUAACUCGAUUUACAGGAUAAGAAGGAAAAGAAAGACGCUAAGAGAGGAGCAGAGACCCAAAAAGAGUUGACCACUUUGUUGGAACAUAAACCUCUAGAAUAUUGAAAUAAAACACAUACCAUAUCUAGUAUUAAGUAUGUAUAUGCAAGAAGAUACAAAUUUGAAGAUCAGAUUUCUCAUUUCAAUUUAUGUUCUGCUUAGAGCAAUGGCUCUUAUUCCACAAGCACAAACAGGAAAGAGUACGCACGAAGUUAAGAAACACACAUUGCAAAAGUUGCAUUAACUACUUGCAGCAGCAUCAUCCAAGAACUUGACUUUAAUCUUCUUGAGCUUCGCUGCGGCAUCUGUCAUAUGCAUUCUCUUGUCAGGUGACUCUAUACAACAAUCCAAAGCCAAAUCCAUGAUGCUUAAUAAACAAUCCAUUUUGGCAGAAAAAGCUUGCUCUUCUCGCACCAAAUUUGCGUCAACAACUUCAGUCAAUCCGUGAGGUAAAGACUCCUUUACCCAUCUCCUUAAACUCAUUUCUCCUGCGAACAUUUCAUCGGUGGGCCUCUUUCUCGUGAAGGUUUCCAUCAAUAAAACACCAUAGCUGUAGACAUCACAUUUAGCUGAAACAAUUCCUUCUGAUCCAUACUCUGCAUUUUUUAAUUUUAAUUAUGAAACAAAUGAUAAAACAAAUAAUUUUUUGAUAAUUAAGGUAACCCAAACUUUGCUCGUGCUUGAAAAAAGAGUAAAAAUUUUAAUUACAAUUGAAACUUUACCUGGUGCCAUAUAACCAAUUGUAGCCAUUGUCAUGGUUUGUGUCACAGAAUCUUCUCCUUCACCUAAGAGUUUGGAAAUGCCGAAGUCGCUCACAUGUGCCACCAUAUUUUCAUCCAAGAGAAUGUUGGUGGGCUUCAAAUCACAAUGAAUUAUAGGUGCCGACGAAUGACCAUGAUGGAGAUAUUCAAGGGCCGACCCCACAUCUAUCAUUAUGUUCAACCUCUCUAGGAUGUCUAAGAAAUAGUUGUGAGAAUAUAACCACUUCUCGAGACUACCAUUUGGCAUGAACUCAAGUACCAAUGCUUUAAAAUCUUGAUUAGAACAACUGCUAAGGAUCUUUAUGAGAUUUCGAUGACGAACAUUCAGUAAAACUUCACAUUCAGAAUCAAAACUCCUAAAUGCUCUCUCUAGUUGCAGAUUGAAAACCUUUAUCGCAACAUCAGUCCCGUCGGAAAUGGUUCCUUUAUAAACUGAUCCAAAGCUACCUGUACCAAGCAAGUUACAUUCAUUAAAUUCAUCAGUUGCUCGUUGAAUGUCUAGGUAGGAUGUUCUUCUCCAUGUUGCAAGAGGUAGGAAAUCUUCGUGAUCUGAUUUUUUUGUACUCCUCUUUCGGCAUCUUAUGUACAUAAUGAUGAUAAUCACUAUAAGUACAGAGGAUACUAUCGGAGGCAAAAUAUAUUUAAGGACAAUUAGAGCAACGUUUUUGGUGCUUUUGCUGUCACCUUGUUUGCAAGGUGGGACUCGGAAUUUAGGUGGACCACAGAGUGCAUAAUUUCCGAAAAAUGAUUCAGCUGACAAGUUUUUAAAAGACCCCUUAACAGGAAUUUCCCCUUCUAGCCUAUUAUGAGACACAUUAAAUUGUUUGAGAUGUGAAAGUGUCUCCAAUGACUUAGGAAUUUUUCCAGAGAGAUUGUUGCCAGAGAGAUCUAAGGAUUCUAAGCUUAUCAAACUACCAACUGAUUCAGGAAUAGGUCCUUGAAAUUGAUUACUAGCCAAUGAUAGAGUUUCUAUAUCUUUGAGGGCACCGAUGGUUGAUGGAAUAUCACCUGAUAAUUGAUUCCUUGAUAAAUCUAAAACUCUCAAGACCUUUAACUUUUGUACAUUGGAAGGGAGAGAAUCAUUUAACGAAUUUGACGACAAGUUUAUCUCUAAGAUGUACUCAAGGCUCCACAAGGAUGACGGUAUACUAGAAGUGAGCUUGUUGGAGCCUAAGUGGAGUUCUCUUAGAGAUGUCAGACUCGCCAAGCAUGGUGGUAUAUGUCCAGAGAGCUUAUUUCCAUUUAACAUUAUUCCGUACAUCAACUCCAAGUGGCAAAGAUCAUAGGGAAUGGAUCCUUCCAAAUUAUUUUCUUCAAGAGAUAAACCUUGUAGCCGCUUAAGUCUUCCCAUCGUUGGUGAAAUAGUUCCAUUCAAGUCAUUGAAGCCGAGGCUUAAGAGGAUCAGGCCACGCAACUUACCAAUUUCUUUAGGAAUGCUGCCCCCGAGUUUGCAGUUGGAUGCAUAAAAUUGUCGAAGAGAAGCAGAGAAAUUUCCAAUUACUGGUGGAAGGAUGCCACCCAAUGGAUUAUAAGCUAAGGCUAAAACUGUUAAAUUUCUGCAAUUAGUCAGAGAAGAGAGAAAACUCCACUGAUCUGCUGAAGAUGAUUCUGUCGUCAAGUUAUUAAAUGCUAAGCCAAGCACGCCGAGGUGUCUCAAGUUGCCAAAUGUAUUUGGAAUAUGGCCUGAGAAUGAGUUAAAGCUCAAUUCUAGGCCAAUGAGUUUAGAAGCGUUUGUGAUGGAGUUGGGAAUUUUUCCGGUAAGGUUAUUGGCCGCCAAGGUUAAAUACUCUAUGCUCGGAAGCGAGUGGCCAAUCGUUGAUGGUAAGUGGCCUGAAAGUUGAUUGCUAAUUAGAUUAAGGACUGUUAGGGUUGAAAUGUUGAAGAUUGUGGGUGGAAUGGGGCCACUUAAAUUAUUCGCACUAAGAACAAGGGUAUCCAAAUUUUGUAGAUUGCCAAUCUCAGUUGGAAUUUGACCUGUCAUAAAGAUAAACGCCAAAUUGAUGAGUUAUUGAGCUUUUUACUUAACAUAAAUUUUAAUUUCAUAACGCAUGAAAAUCAAAUUUGCCCACAAAAUGUGUGUUAUUAGUUUUAUAAUUUUUUUUUGGGUUUUUUUUGGGGGGGGGGGGGGGGAGAUUGAUAUUGCUACCUCAUAAUUUUUGUAAAACCCCACCCGCUUUCAGAGAAUUAUUGGAACAAGAUUCUUAAAAAAAUUCAAAUAAAGAAGAAGUUUGGAGAAAUAAUCAAUUAAAUCCAUCUUAAUAUACUUUUUGAAACUUAUAUUCUUUUAUCAUAUAUAAUAACUAAGGUUGCUUUAACAUAAAUUUAAUAUAACUAGUCUACUCUCAUAAGGUAGAAUUACUAAAAUACCCACAAAUUUACUUCAACUUCAACUAAACUAACAAAAUGUAUUUGUUGACAUGUGGGGAACUAAAAAUUAUUGAAUUUUAUUUUAGAAAUAUUGUAUUACAAAACAUAAAACAAAAUGCCGAAACUAUAUAUUAGAUACAAUAGUACAUGUUUUUCGGGGUAAUUUGGUCAUUUUAUAUUAUAAGAGUAAAAUAGUCAAAUUAAACUUAUUUUAAAGCAACCGUAAACGGUCAAAGAUUGUUAAAAGCCCUAAGUCAUAAAAGAAAAACAUUAUAAAAAUAAUUUAUUAAUUGUUCAGACUUAAUUUAUAAUUUUAUAACAUAAUGUGAACUUAUUAUAACUAUCUUUUCAAAAUGAGGUGGGUUUGCAAGAAUAAUGAGUGGAAAUAUCCCCACCCUAUAAAAUAAAAAGAAUUUUGCAGCUAUGCAAAUGCAAAUAUGUAGAACGUACCUUGUAGGUUGUUAUAACCUAGAUUCAGAAUGAAAAGGCUGCUAAAAUUUCCUAUCCCUGAAGGAAUAUUUCCAUCAAUAACGUUGUAGAUUGCGUCGAACACCUCCAGCUUCGAUAAAUUGAGGAGAGAAUUUGGGAUUGGACCCGUGAAACUGUUAUUAUAAAGCCUCAACGUUUGUAAUUUGGAUAAGACACCAAUCCAUGUUGGAAUGCUUCCACUCAAUUUAUUGAAACCGAAUCUAAUGAAUCUGAGUCGGCGUAAUUGCCCCAAUUCAUUAGGCAGAUGGCCAUGAAAAUUAUUAUGAGCAACAUCAAGAGAUACUAAGAACGUGAGAUUUCCCAAGUGUAGUGGAAUGGUGCCUCCGAGACCCAUAUCUGAAAGAUUCAAGGCAGUGACUCUUUGAUGGCGUGAACCACAAGAGAUACCAACCCAGCUACAUAUUGGAUAAGAUAUAGACCAAUUAUUUGUCAGAUCACUUCGAUAAUCAACGACACGGGCUUUGAAUGCAAGAAGAGCCGAUUGAUCUGUUGUUAAGUUGCUCAAAGUCGUCAUAGCUAAGCUAGCUAUGGAAUAUUGUACCAACAACAUAGGAACAAAGAAGAAUGAUAAGCACAUAUUGGUCGUUUUUUUUUAUAGAUGCAGCAAUCUAAUUGCUAGGUGAAGUUGAUACAAGUUUUAAGUGAAGGAAACUAGCAUAUACUUAUACAAGAGACGUAUGAAUUUGAAAACAAGAAAAGAAAAAAAUGUACAGGAGAGUGGAGACAUGCAAAUUGGUAUAUUUCAUCAUUGAGCGAGUCGUCCAAGUAAACUCAUACAGACCUGUAAAUUGUUAUAGGCCGCGGUACUUGAACCGUGAAUAAAGGGCUUAUGGCACUUGACUUACCAAAAAGAAGAAGAUGCUCAACAUUGGCAAGGCCUAUGCAUUCUGUCCAUUUGUUCACGUUUUGCCAAGGCUCAGGGCAACCACAAUAUGUUCUUUUUCUUCCCUCUUAAAACAAAAAACAAAAAAAAAAGACGACAUUUACAUUUGGGCUAAUAAUUAUAACUAAACAAUUAAUAAUACUGAGGGUCAGUGGUAAUGUAGCUUUAAAAUAAUUGUUAUUAGUUGUGUCUUAAAAAUAAAGAAAAAAAAUAACUAUACCCAUAUAAUUAAUAAAAUAAUCAUGUAAAUUCCUAAGCUUUUAACAAUAUACACCAAGACCCCCUACCGUUACUUUUUACCAUUUAUUUGGAUGUCACAUGCUUUUUUUUUUUAAUUUUCACAGUGGAUAUCAAAUGCUAAAUUUACUGUUAUUCCCAUAUCAUGUCAUCACUUGCUUCUACACACAUUGAUUGUUUUUCCAAAGUUUCAAAUUGAAUUAAAAACAUUCUAAUUAACCUAAAAAAAACUCAUCCAACCAGAUAUAAAUCAUCUAAUUAACCUAAAGAUAGCUACACCCCCAUAUUAAUUCCAAUUAAAUAAAAUUCAUUUUUGUCAUGAUUUUGGAUCUCGAGCAGGGUGGAUAUAUCCAACUAGAUCCGCCCCAUUGGCAUUCCAGUAUAUUCUGUAAUUGGAAGAGUAUGAAUGACUUAAUUUGUAAUUUUAAAUUUGUAACGUUCAAUUCUAAUUUGAGGAUUCAAAUGAAUUUAUGCGAAUCUAAAAGGGGACUGAAGAUUGGCAUGCAUACAUGCAUACAUAUACAUAUAUAUAUAAAUAGAGAGAGAGAGAGAGAGAGAGAGAGAGAGAGGUAAUAUAACAUUCUUCUUGAUGAAGAUUUUUGUGCCAUACGAAUUAAAGAGAGUAUUGUGUCGAUGUUCGAGGCUAGAGCGACAAUUGGUUACAUUGCUUCAGAGGUGUUUAGUAGAAACUUUGGUGAGGCAUCACAUAAUUUAAAUUACUAGAUUUAGCGAGAUAUAUAUAUUUUCCACAUUGGAUUUACAAGCAUUUCGAGCAGUAUAAUGAAUUAAAAUUACUCGGAAUUGUAAACAGCGAGGAAAGUGAAAUUGCUAAGAAGAUGAAUAUUUUGUUGUUUUGUGGUGUACACGGACUCGUCCAUCGGAUAGGUCGCCCAUGAACAGAGGGAUAGAAAUGUUAUUGCCAAGAAGCAGACUGACUAGCAGUGACGCUUUGAAAAGUCCACCGGACAUCGUCUCCUCCAAGACCACCAAUAGAUUCUUCCACCAUUUCAACGUCGUGACGUGGGGAUCGGAAUUGAAUUAUAGGAUGCUUGUAAGUUUCCUUUGUGGAACUUGUGAAUUUGUGAUGGCAAAAGUCAAUGAUGCAUGUAACUAGCUAGCCCGUGUAGACUCCGUUUUACACUUUUUCAAAACCCAAAAGCACGCUAAAUCUUAAUCUUAAAAGAAUUUUUGAUUCAGUGCUGAAUUUUGGGCUUAUCUUUAAGUAAUCUUUUACCACGCAUGCAUUUUUGUCAUUGUGCAGUCAUCGAUUGCUUCUAAAGAUCGUAAUCCUUAAGAAAAAAUUACUUCUCUUGAAAGUGAAAGCAGGGCAGCUAUUGGCGUAUUGCAUUGCAGCUGCUAUGUGUAGUAGUCAAUUCUUGGAAACAACUAGUUUUCUUAAAUUGUAAACGGUCCCCUUUAUGACUGGGAGAUUUUGAACAAAAUUAAUAUGACGAAUUCUUUGCAGGUGUUGUUCCUUGAAGUCUCAUCUUUCACAAUGUUUCUGAAAUAAAGAUAUUACCAUCUCUGAUUUAAUAUUUAUUCUUGAUUUGUACCACCUAAUCUGAACUUGAUGAAAGAAUAAAGAUUAUGAUCUUGCCUGAUUUUAUUAAUGUGGUCUUAUCUCACGUAAGUCAGUAAUGAAUUAAGGAAAAUUAUCAUUCGUAUACCCUAUAAUUGCUCUGUUAUAAAAAAUACUACAACACUUUGAGGGUGUAUCAAUUGUCCACCCUAAGUUAACAAAAUGUAUCUGUCAUCCACCAAACCGUUAUUUGCCGUUUAAAUAGAAUGACACCAGAGGGGUAAUUUUAUCUUUUCAUAUGAUACAAGUGAUAAUUUAAGGGUAUACAAGUGAUAAUAAAAGAAUUUAAAGGUAUACAAGUGAUAAUUUUAUUUACUUUAAUUUAAGUUUCAAGGGUAAAAUCGUCAAUUCACUAUAAUUCCGUUAACUUUCAAACGGUAGCUAACGGUUUGGUGGUCGGCAGAUAGCUUUUGUUAAUUUAAGGUGGACGAUUGAUAUACUCUCAAAGUGUUGUAGUAUUUUUGAUAAUAGAGCAACUAUAGGAUAUAUGAUUGAUAAUUUCCCAUGAAUUAAUUAAAGUUUACUGUCAAAUUACAAACACAAAAACUGCUGCUGCUUCAUUAUUCACAAUACCUAAAGUCAGUGCAGAACUUAAUAAGUUUUCCAAAAGUUUUACGCUUUCUUUCCCCCAAAUCCCAAGUACUUACUAGAUAUGUCAUGUUUAUACCCAAAGUCAGUGCAGAACUUACUCGAUAUGUCAUGUUUACACAAGAGUUUGUUUAUAAAUAAAUGAGUUGACAAAUAUUUGCCAAAAAAAACGGUGAGUGAUGUCUAGUUCUAUUUUCACAGUUCAGAGUCCAAUUUUGAUUACUGGAAAUUUUAAUUAUGAAGUUGAACUAAGAAUUUGUUAUAAUAUCUUCAACCUUCCUAUACAGUCAUCUGGAAUAAUAAUAUAUCAAAAACAGUAAUAACUCGAUUUACAGGGUGAGAAAGAAAAGAAAGACGCUACGAGGGAAGCAGAGAUUCAAAGACUUCGCCACUUUGUUGGAGGAACAAUUUCAUAAAUCUCCAGAAUAUUGACAUAAAACACAUAACAUACAUAUCUAGCAUUAAGUAUAUUUAUGUAUGUCCAAAGAUAAAAAUUUGAAGAUUAAAUUUAUCAUUUCAAUUUAUGUUCUGCCCAAAGCAAUGGCUUUUAUUCCACAAGCACAAACAAGAAAGAGUACGCACAAAGUUAACAAACACACAUAGCAAACGUGACAUCAACCACUUGCAGCAGCAUCAUCCAGAAACUUCACUCUAAUCUUCUUGAGCUUUUCAGCGGCGUCUUUCGUAGAUGCCCCCUGUUCUGGUGAUUCCAUGCAACAAUCCAAUGCCGAAUGCAUGAUGCUUAAUAAACAAUUCAUUUUAGGAGAAAAAACUUGCUCUUCUCUCACCAAGUUUGCAUCGACAACAUCACUCAAGGCACGAGGUAAUGACUCCCUUACCCAGUCUCUUAAACUUAUUUCUCCUGUAAACAUUUCAUUUGUGGGAUUCUUUCUGGUGAAAGUUUCCAUCAAUAAAACACCAUAACAAUAGACAUCACCUUUGGCCGAAAUCAUUCCUUCUAAUCCUUACUCUGCAUUUUUUUGGUUUCGAUAGAUCAAAUGGAUGUGACAUCAUAAAACAAAUGAUAAACAAAUAGUCUUUUGACAGUCAAGAUGGCCCAAACUUUGACUGUGCUUCGAAAAGAGCGAAAAUUUGAAAUUAUAAUUGAAACCUUACCUGGUGCCAUAUAACCAGUUGUAGCCACUGUCAUGAUUUGGGUCACAGAAUUUUCUUCAUCACCUAAGAGUUCGGAAAUGCCGAACUCACAUGUGCCACCAUAUUUUCAUCCAAGAGAAUGUUGCUAGGCUUCAAAUCACAAUGAAUUACAGGUGCUGAUGAAUGAUCGUGAUGGAGAUAUUCAAGUGCCAGCCGCACAUCUAUCAUUAUAUUCAACCUCUCUAGGAUAUCUAGGAAAUAGUUGUGUGAACACAACCAUUUCUCAAGACUACCAUUGAGCAUGAACUCAAGCACCAGUACUUUAGAAUCUGGAUUGCAACAGCUGCUAGUGAUCUUUGUGAGAUCUUGAUGACGAACAUUCCACAAUACUUCACAUUCAGAAUCAAAACUCCUAAAGGCUCUCUCUAGCUGCAGAUUGAAAACCUUUAUUACAAUAAUAGUCACAUCAUAAAGUGUGCCUUUAUAAACAGAUCCGAAGCUCUCCAUACCUAGCAGGAUACAUUCACUAAAUCCAUCAGCUGCUCGUUGAAUAUCAUGAUAGGAUAGUCUUCUCCAUGUUGUCGAAGAGAACAAAUCUUCUUUAUCUGGAGUUCUUGUUUUCCUAUUUUGAAAUAUUAUGAAGAAUCAUAACAAUUGUUAUUAGUGCAUUGGAUAUAAUCGAAGGCAAAGUAUAUUUCAGGACAAGCAGAGUAGCAUUCUUGGAUCCUUUGCUAUUAUCUUCUUUGCAAGGUGGGACUUGAAGGCCUGGUGGACCACAUAGUGCAUAAUUCUCAAAAAACGAUUGAGCUGAAAUGUUUUUAAAAGGUCCUUUGAUAGGAAUUCCCCCUUCUAGCCUAUUGUGAGACACAUUAAGUUGUUUGAGAUAUGAGAGUGCCUCCAUUGACUUUGGAAUUUCUCCAGAGAGAUUGUUGCUAGGGAGAUCCAAAGAUUCCAACCUUAUCAAACUACCAAAUGAUUUAGGGACCAGACCAUAAAAUUGGUUUCUAGCCAAGGACAAAGUUGCUAGAUCUUUGAGGCCACCAAUACUUACUGGUAUAUCACCUGAUAAUUGAUUUCUUGAUAAAUCAACUCUAUUAAGACCUUUAAGUUUUGUACAUCUGAAGAUAGAUGACCACUUAGAGAAUUUGUUGACAAGUUUACAUACAAGAUGUACUCAAGAUUCCACAAGGAUGAUGGGAUACUAGAAGUGAGCGUGUUGCAGCUUACAAAGAGUGUUUUUAAGGAAUUGAAUAUCUGAAAUCUUGUAUGUAAAUAUUAACACUUAGAGAAUUUGUUGACAAGUUUUUAAGGAUUUACUGAUUAAAUAAUUUUCCAAUUUGUUUGCCUGGAGGAAUUGAAUAGUUAACUGAUUAAAGGAUUUCAAGGUGGUUAGGUCCAGCCGAGCAUUGUAAAUAUUAACGGUCAUUAUGAAUGUGUAAUUCCUAUAUGUGAAAUUGAAUUUCCAUGGUAAAUUUCUGCUAGGGUGUGAUUGUAUGGUAGCCAAUUGUGAGCAACAGAUCCACAUAGUAAUAUAGACUGAAAUUUUGCGUCUUAAGCCAUGAAGAUAUAGAUUUUGGCAAAUAUUAUACAAGCAUUGUUUGCAACACCACAGCUAAUUUGCAGUAGGAUGAAACACUCAGAAUUUUGCCUUUUUCAUGUAUAAAAUUUUAUUUUUUUAAUUGUGAUAUUACAGUUUUGCCCAUCAAGCAUUAUGAAGCUUAAUAUUUGGAUAAAUGUUAGGUUUAAUCUAUAAAUUUUAACUUCAGUGUUUAUUUAGUUUUUAUAUUUUGUAAAAUAUCUCAAGGCAGCCCUAUUAUCAAAUAUUGGCUUGAUCCGUAUAUAUUAACUUCAGUGCUUUAUUUAGGUUUUAUAUUUUGAAAAAUACUUUAAGGCAGUUCUAUUAUCAAAUAUGUUAUGCUCUUGCUUUUAUUUUUUCUUUGUUUUUAUAAUAAUACUCUGAUAACAAUAUUUUUUUACAUUAAUUUUUUAAUCAAUAAAAAGGUAACUAGCAAAUUAACUGAUAAAUUAAUUUGUUAAUUUUUUUAAUCAAUAAAAAAUUUAAUUAAUAAAUUACUUGGUAGCAAAUUAAAAAAUAAAUAUUAGCAUAAAACAAUUGAUAUUUUUCAUUCUCUUACAACAAUCUUACUAAUAAUUUUUUUAUAAAAAAUUAAUUUAUUAAAUUAAUCCUUAAAAGUAAAAUAAUAAUAAUUAAUUUGUAUCUUAGUUUUAAAGUUAAUUUGAUAAAUUCAAUUUUUUAAUUAAUAUCUCCAAAAAUAUAGUUGCAACGAUAUUAUUGCAAAAGUAAAAAAAAAAAUAUAUAUAGAAUUUUAAUAUAACUGCCAGUAAAAAUAACUUGAAAUAUUUUUUAAGAUAUAAAAAUUAAACCAACACUUAAUUAAAAAUAUAAAGAAUUAAAUAAACAUUUAUCUUCUAACAUUUCAACCUACUGGCUAAUGGUCAUACAAUCGUGGUGUGGUCCGGGAUGCCCGGCCCAGCCCAUCAUGCAAAAAGCCAUGUCACCCAUAUUCUUAGGCUGCUACUGCAUUAAAAAAAUGAUAUUAAUAAGCGUACGCCACGUCACUCCUCACUCUCUUCUUCGUCACUUUCCUCUCACUCAACAUUUUCUCCCCAAACAAAUUCCUUCUUUGAAAAAUCGCAUUUUCUCCUUCACAGCAACAGCUACAAUGUCUUCAACUUCCAAAAAGGUGAUUUUUUUUUAAUUUUAUUUUUUGUUUAGUUUCUUUCUGUUGCCUUUUUGUUUCGUUUUUUGAAUUUUCUGUGUCGUUUUUUUCCCCCAAGGUUUUGGUGCCUGUUGCGAACGGGAGUGAGCCGAUUGAGUCCGUGAUAACGAUCGAUGUUUUGAGAAGGUCUGGAGCUGACGUCACGGUUGCGUCUGUGGAGAAACAGCUCCGUGUCGACGCGUGUCAUGGUGUCAAGAUUGUCGCUGAUGCUCUCGUGUCUGACUGCCGCGACGCCGUUUUUGAUCUUAUAGCUCUUCCCGUAUGUAUUGCAGCUCUCCUCAGCUCGUGCUAAUUUAUGUGAUGUUUGUAUAAUUAUAGAUGAUUACUGCUGAUACUGAAUGUUAAGCUAAAUAAUUCGUUCUUAAGUCAUCUUCAUUUAAUUUUCGAUUGAAAAUGAAAAAAAUAAUAAUUUUAAGCAAAGAAAAAUAUAGAAAAUGUUUAUUUUGUUUAAUUUUCAAUUUUUAAUUUUCAGGGAUUUCAUUAUUGUGACUGUUAUCAUUCAUUAUAUGGUCAUAGUUAAAUGUUUCAAAUUGUUGUAGUCAGUGAAAUUCUUUUCGAUAUUUAUUCUGGCAUGUAUAUUUUUCCUUUUCAAUUUCUUUUGUUGCUGAUUCUUUGAUUAUGUUAUAUCCUUUUUUGUUUCCCUUGUAGGGUGGCAUGCCCGGUGCUACCAAUCUGAAGGAAUCUGAAGUAUUAGAAAGCAUUGUGAAGAAGCAGGCCUCAGCUGGGCGUCUUUAUGCUGCUGUCUGUGCUUCACCUGCUGUGGCAUUAGGGUCUUGGGGUCUGUUGAAGGGAUUGAAGGUAAGAGUUAGAUAAGCCUUUUUGAUGUUUUGUGGUCUUUUGGGAAUUGCACUGAUAUUUUUGUUAUGGUUCAGUUUUCUUCUCGCUGAUGAUUGUUAAGUUCUAAUUUAUGUAGUUGUUCAUUUUUCCUAGGCUACUUGUUAUCCGUCAUUUAUGGAGCAACUAGCUCCUGCUUGUGCAGCAUGUUGAAUCAAGAGUACAGCAGGAUGGUAAAGUUGUUACGAGUCGUGGACCGGGCACUACCAUGGAGUUUGCCGUUGCACUUGUUGAGCAGUUGUAUGGGAAAGAGAAAGCUGAUGAAGUUUCUGGGCCACUGGUAUUAGCUUUUAUAGAUAACGUUGUUUAAAAAAAUUAUGAGUUAUAUAAUUUGUGGAAGCUUCAGAUGCUAAUGUAUUCAAGAAAAUAAGUUCAGGGGAAGAGUAUGACUUUUUGCAUUAGUGAUUCAUUAGAUGAAAUUGUAUACCUGCUGGUCCAUCAUAAGGUGGUGAAAACAAUGUUUGAUUUAAUUAAUGAAAUCCUGAAAUAUGCAUUUGUUGAGCUUCAAUGUCUCCACUGAUAAAAUUCUUUUUAAUGUAAGUUCUUUCUCUUGGUAUUGUAUUUGAAUUUUCUGUUCCUCAUGCUUUCGUCUUUACUGUCACCUUGUGCCUAGGUAAUGCGUGCAAAUCAUGGAGAUGAAUACACUAUUGCUGAGUUCAAUCCAAUUCAGUGGACAUUUGACAAUUCUCCUCAGGUGAGAUUGGACUGUUAGUUUCUUGUAUUUGUUUUUCUUCUUCCAUGUUUUGAGGGAUACCCAUUUGGCAGUAAAUAAAAAUCUGUGAUAUCUUCUAUACAUGUACAUAUACAUCAUUGACUUCACUCAUUUGUGAACAUAUUGGAGGUAGUAGAUUUAUUGUUAUGAUAUGUCUAAUAAAAUCCAAAGUUCGAUGCAACUACAAAAGAAGUAUGAGCAGUGCUCGACCAGAGAGGAAAAAGGUGGUUUUUUUCUUUUUUUUUUUUGGGGGGGGGGGGGGGGUUGGUUGGGUGGCAAAGGGAAUGAUAAGUUCAGGGUAUCAACAAGCUGUAAAAUGGCUAUCGAAAAACUGAUAUUUCACAUUAGAGAAUGUGAGGACCUGAAGAUUGCUGACUUGUGGUCAAAAUGGAAUUCUUGAUAACUUUAAAUGUUAAAAAUUCUUGGUGAAAAUUUUGUACUUUUUUUUCUUUCAGAUUCUUGUGCCUAUUGCGAAUGGUUCAGAGGAGAUGGAAGCUGUUAUAAUAAUUGAUAUUCUGCGACGAGCUAAAGCAAAUGUUGUGGUUGCGUCAGUUGAGGAUAAACUAGAAAUUCUGGCUUCUCGUCAAGUUAAAUUAGUGGCAGAUAUGCUUAUUGAUGAGGCAGCUAAACUUUCGUAUGAUUUGAUUGUCUUGCCAGUAAGUGGGGUUGCUAACUCUUGCCUCAUAGUCUUUACCAAAUUAUUGACUUACUAGCUACAAUUUAUCUAUGCACAGGGUGGACUUGGUGGUGCUCAAGCAUUUGCGAAGUCAGAAAAAUUGGUAAAUAUGCUAAAGAAGCAAAAGGAAUCAAAUAGACCUUACGGUGCUAUAUGUGCAUCCCCAGCACUAGUGUUGGAGCCCCAUGGCUUACUCAAGGUAUGACCAUUUCUGCUUAAAUAUUUAUUCUUGAUUUGAAUCACCUAAUCUGAACUUGAUAAAACAUUGUGAUCUUGUGUGAUUUUAUGAACGUGGUCUUAUCUCAUGUAAGUCUGUAAUGAAUUUAUUGAAGUUUGCUGACAAAUUACAAACUCAAAAACUGCUGCUGCUUCAUUAGUUACAGUACCCAAGGAGUUAUGAUAGACAUCCCAAACUUUUUACCCCAAAUUCCCUCUCAAAUGACAUGGUAGUUAUUAAGUGGUUGGUAAUUUUUUAUAAGAUAUAAGUGAAUUAAUUAAUUAUAUUAUUUAAUCAACCAAUUGAUGAAUGUCACGCCAUUUGAGAUGAAUUUUUGGGAUGUGUAGCAAAACUUUAUGCUGAUUUGUUUUGGCUACAUUCAUGUAAAACAUUUUUCCCCAAAUCCCAAGAACUUCCCGCAAUAUCAUUCCUUUGUAUUUGUUUUCCCCUUUAGACAUGUUUAACUUUGGUUCAGGGUAAAAAGGCUACGGCUUUUCCUGCCAUGUGCAACAAGCUAUCAGAUCAAAGUGAAAUCGAAAACAGGGUUGUGGUUGAUGGCAACCUUAUCACCAGCAGAGGGCCAGGAACUUCCAUGGAGUUUGCACUGGCAAUUGUGGAGAAGUUUUUUGGCCGCAACAAAGCACUUGAGCUUGCAAAGAUAUUGCUUUUCACCCGCACCUAAAAUUUGUACCAGGACCCGACUAAUAUUAAACUAGAGUGUUUAUUUCUGUAUUACUACUGCUUGUAGAGAGGCGAAAUGGAAACUUGAAUUCAUGUUUGAAUAGGGAUUCACUGUGCGGGUUUGUACAAGAGCUUGUUUAUAAAUAAAUGAGUUCAUAAAGAGUCAUUUUAAAUAUUUGGAAUAAACGUGAGUUGCUGUUUAGUUCUGUUUUCAAUGUUCACCGUUCAAUUGUGAUCCAGAGCAAUAUAACUACACUCACUGGGAAUUUUAAUUAUGAACCAAGAACGAAGUUGAACCGAGAAUUUGAUACUUUAUAUAUUCCAGUUACCAUAUUUAAGAAAGAGUAUUGAAAAGAAAGACGCUAAGAGAGAAUAUUGAAGUUAAACAGAUACCAUAUCUAGUAUUAAGUCUGUAUGCCAAAGUUACAAAUUCGAAGAUCAGAUUCCUCAUUUCAAUUUAUGUUCUGCUCAAAACAAUGGCUCUUAUUCCACAAGCACAAACAAGAAAGAGUACGAACAAAGUUAACAGAGACACGCAGUGAAAAUUACGCUAAUUGGUUGCAGCAGCAUCAUCCAGGAACUUCACUUUAAUCCUCUUGAGCUUUGCUGCAGCGUCUGUCAUAUUUAUCCUCAUGUCGGGUGACUCCAUACAACAAUCCAAUGCCAAAUCCAUUAUGCUUAAUAUACAAUCCAUUUUGGCAGAAAAAGCUUGCUCUUCUCGCACCAAAUUUGCGUCAACAACUUCACUCAAUCCGUGAGGUAAUGACUCCUUUACCCAUGUCCUUAAACUCGUUUCUCCUGUGAACAUUUCAUCGGUGGGCCUCUUUCUCGUGAAAGUUUCCAUUAAUAAAACACCAUAGCUGUAGACAUCACAUUUAGCUGAAACAAUUCCUUCUGAUCCAUACUCUGCAUUUUUUUUAAUUUCAAUUAUGAAACAAAUGAUAAAACAAAUAAGUUUUUGAUAAUUAAGGUAACCCAAACUUUGCUCGUACUUGAAAAAAGAGUAAAAAUUUUAAUUACAAUUGAAACUUUACCUGGUGCCAUAUAACCAAUUGUAGCCAUUGUCAUGGUUUGUGUCACAGAAUCUUCUUCUUCACCUAAGAGUUUGGAAAUGCCGAAGUCGCUCACAUGUGCCACCAUAUUUUCAUCCAAGAGAAUGUUGGGAGGCUUCAAAUCACAAUGAAUUAUAGGUGCCGACGAAUGACCAUGAUGGAGAUAUUCAAGAGCCGACCCCACAUCUAUCAUUAUAUUCAACCUCUCUAGAAUGUCUAAGAAAUAGUUGUGAGAAUACAACCACUUCUCGAGACUACCAUUUGGCAUGAACUCAAGUACCAAUGCUUUAAAAUCUGGAUUAGAACAACUGCUAAGGAUCUUUAUGAGAUUUCGAUGACGAACAUUCUGUAAAACUUCACAUUCAGAAUCAAAACUCCUAAAUGCUCUCUCUAGUUGCAGAUUGAAAACCUUUAUCGCAACAUCAGUCCCGUCGGAAAUGGUUCCUUUAUAAACUGAUCCAAAGCUACCUGUACCAAGCAAGUUACAUUCAUUAAAUUCAUCAGUUGCUCGUUGAAUGUCUAGGUACGAUGUUCUUCUCCAUGUUGCAAGAGAUAGGAAAUCUUCGUGAUCUGAUUUUCUUGUACUUCUAUUUCGGCAUCUUCUGUACAUAAUGAUGGUAAUCACUAUAAGGACCGUGGAUACUAUCGGAGGCAAAAUAUAUUUAAGGACAAUUAGAGCAACUUUCUUGGUUCUUUUGCUGUUAUCUUGCUUGCAAGGUGGGACUCGAAGUUUAGGUGGACCACAGAGUGCAUAAUUUCCAAAAAAUGAUUCAGCUGACUAGUUUUUAAAAGACCCCUUAACAGGAAUUUCCCCUUCUAGCAUAUUUUGAGACACAUUAAAUUGUUUGAGAUGUGAAAGUGCCUCCAAUGACUUAGGAAUUUUUCCAGAGAAAUUGUUGCCGGAGAGAUCUAAGGAUUCUAAGCUUAUCAAACUGCCAACUGAUUCAGGGAUAGGUCCUUGAAAUUGAUUACUAGCCAAGGAUAGAGUUUCUAGAUCUACGAGGGCACCAAUGGUUGAUGGAAUAUUACCUGAUAAUUGAUUCCUUGAUAAAUCUAAAACUCUCAAGACCUUUAACUUUUGUACAUUGGAAGGGAGAGAAUCAUUUAAUGAAUUUGACGACAAGUUUAUCUCUAAGAUGUACUCAAGGCUCCACAAGGAUGACGGUAUACUAGAAGUGAGCUUGUUGGAGCCUAAGCGGAGUUCUCUUAGAGAUGUCAAACUCGCCAAGCAUGGCGGUAUAUGUCCAGAGAGCUUAUUUCCAUUUAACCUUAUUCCGUACAUCAACUCCAAGUGGCAAAGAUCAUAGGGAAUGGAUCCUUCCAAAUUAUUGUCUUCAAGAGAUAAACCUUGUAGCUGCUGUAAUGUUCCUACAGAUGUUGGAAUAGUUCCGUUCAAGUCAUUGAAGUCGAGGGUUAAGAGGAUCAAGCCACGUAAAUUACCAAUUUCUUUAGGAAUGCUGCCCCCGAGUUUGCACUCGUAAGCAUAAAAGCUUUGAAGAGAAGCAGAGAAAUUUCCAAUUAAUGGUGGAAGGAUGCCACCUAAUGGAUUAGAAUCUAAGACUAAAUAGGAUAGCUUUCUACAAUUAGUCAAAGAAGAGAGAAAACUCCACUGAUCUGCUGAAGAUGAUUCUGUCGUCAAGUUAUUCGUUCGUAUGCUGAGCACGUUGAGGUGCCUCAAGUUGCCAAAUGUAUUUGGUAUAUGGCCUGAGAAUGAGUUAGAGCCCAAGUCUAGACCAAUGAGUUUGGAAGCAUUGGUAAGAGAGUCAGGAAUUGUCCCGAUAAGAUUAUUGAUCGCCAAGGUUAAAUACUCUAUGUUCGGAAGCGAGUGGCCUAUCGUUGAUGGUAGGCGGCCUGAGAAUUGGUUGCUGUGUAGAUUAAGGACUCUUAUGGUUGAAAUAUUGAAGAUCGCGGGUGGAAUGAGGCCACUUAAAUUAUUCGUACCAAGAGCAAGACUCUCCAAAUUUUGUAGAUUGCCAAUCUCGGUUGGAAUUUGAUCUGUCAUAUCGAUUAAACCAACAUUGAUGAGUUAUUGAAUUUUUUGCUAAACAUAAAUUUAAUUUCAAAAUUCAUGAAAAUCAAAAUUUCCCACAAAAUAUGUGUUAUUAGUUUUAUAAUAAUUUAGGGGGUAAUGAUAUUUCUACCCCAUGAUUUUUGUAAAACACACAUGCUUUUAGAAAAUUAUUACCGCAAGAUCACAUUAUUCUUAAAAAUUCAAAUUAAGAAGAAGUUUCUAGAAUUAAUCAAUUAAAUCCAUAUUAAUUUAUAUUUGAAACUUAUAUUCUUUUAUUAUAUUUAAGUACUAAGGUUGUUUUAACAUAAAUUUAAUUGACUAUUUUACCCUCCUAAGGUAAAAGUACUAAAAUCCUCAAAAAUUUACUUCAACUAAACUAACAAAAUGUAUUUAUGACCUAUGGGGCAUUAAAAAUAUUGAAUUUUAUUUUUAAAAUAUUAUAUUACAAAACAUAAAACUAUAUGCUAGAUACUAUAGUACAUGUUUCUUGGGGUAAUAUAGUCAUUUUACAUUAUAAGGAUGAAAUAGUCAAAUUAAACUUAACUUGAAGCACCCGUAAAUGCCAAAAAUUGUUAAAAGACCUAAGUCAUAAAAGAAAAUUAUUAUCAGAAUAAUUUAUUUAGUUAAUUAUCUGACUUAUUGUUAAUUUAUAAUUUUAUAAGCUAUUGUGAACUUAUUGCAAUUAUCUAAUGGAGAUGAGGGGGGGUUUUGCAAGAAUAUGAGCGGCAGUAUUGCCACUCUAUAAAAUAAAAAGAAUUAUGCAGUCAUGCAAAUGCAAAUAUGCUGAACUUACCUUGCAGGUUGUUAUGACGAAGAUCCAAAUCAAAAAGGUUGCUCAAAUUUCCUAUCCCUGAAGGAAUAUUUCCAUCAAUAACGUUGAAACUUGCUUGUAACAUCUCCAAUUUCGAUAAGUUGAAGAGAGAAUUUGGGAUUGGACCCGUGAUAUUGUUAUUACGAAGACUCAUUAUUUGUAAUUUGGAUAAGACACCAAUCCAAGUUGGAAUGCUUCCACUCAAUUUAUUGAAACUGAAACUAAUGAAUUUGAGUCGGCCUAAUUUCCCCAAUUCAUUAGGUAGAUGGCCAUAAAAAUUGUUCAAAGUAACAUCAAGAGACAUUAGGAAUGAGAGAUUUCCCAGGUGUGGGGGAAUAGUGCCUCCGAGACCCAUGCCUGAAAGAUUUAAAGCCUUGACUCUUUGAUGGCGUGAAUCACAAGAAAUACCAACCCAGCUGCAUAUUGGAUGAGAUAUAGACCAAUUAUUUGCUAGGACACUCCGAUAAUCACCGACGUGGGCUUUGAAUGCAAGAAGAGCUGAUUGAUCUGUUAAAUUGUUUAAAGUCGUCGUAGCUAAGUUAGCUAUGGAAUAUUGUAACAACAUAGGAACAAAGAAGAACGAUAGGCGCAUAUUGGUCGUUUUUAAUAGAUACAGCAACAUAAUUGCUAGGUGAGAUUGAAACAAGUUUGAAGUGAAGGAAAUUAGCAUAUACUUAUACAAGAGACAUGAAUUUGAAAACAAGAAAAGAAAAAAUAUACAGGAGACUUGCAAACUGUUAUAUUUUGUCAUUAAGCGAGUCGUCCAAGUAAACGCACGUAUGGACUUGCAAAUUGUUAAACGUCGCUGUACUUGAACCGUAAACAAAGGGUGUGUUUGGUUGGAGGAUUAAAAGUGGGGAUUAGACACUUUUUUUUUUUUUUAAAUUUUAUCCUUAUCUCAUGUUUGGUGCUGUCAAGGGUAUUAGGAUUUAGUUAUCUUGAACUCACAAGCUAAUCUUAAUUUUGUAAAGGAAAUUAUCCCAAGAGGGGUCAUGGGAUUAGUUAGUAUUGGAUUAUAUUGAUAACUCAAUUAAACAUAAUAAUUUAUAAAUAUUAAAAUUAUAGUAAUAUGUGAUAAAUGUAAUAAAAAAAUAUUGAUUUUAAUAAUGUAAAUAAUAAAUUAUACUAAAAAUCAUUAUUAAUUUCACAUUAAAUUAAAAUUCUAUUUUACUUUAUUUAAUUAUUAAAUAUUUUUUAUAAUUCCAAAUUUACGUUAUAAAUUAAUUAUUAAAUUAGUAUUCAAAAAGAUAAAUUUUUAUAAAAUAAUAGAUUAUUGAAUAAAUAUCAUAUAAAUAUCAUAUACAUAUUUAACAAAAUAAUAAUUAUUUAAAUUAUGAUUUCUAUUUCUUUAACGUCAUUGAGGUUGAUUUGUAUAAUUAAUAAUACAAAAUUUUAGUUUAUAAUAAUAUUAAUAAUAAUAAUAACUUGUAAAUUGUAAUAUUAUAAUGUAAAACAUGAUUAUUUAUAGUCCAAUCUAAUAUUGUACCAAACACAAUAUAGUAUUAUAUAUAAUCCACUAUUAUUCAAUCCAAUUCAAUUUUAUCCAAUUUAAUCUAAUCUAAUUCAAUCAAAUCCGGCGGACCAAACCAGCCCAAAGGGUUUAUGGCCCUUUACUUACCAAACAGAAAAAGAUGCUCAACAUUGACAUCUUUGACCCAAUCCAAAUCUAAUCCAUACAUCUGCGGAUCAGAUGCAGAUUUAACCUAAUCCAUAUCCAAUCCACCAUUUUACGGAUUGGUUUGUAGACUGAAAAAUAUUAUAAGAAUAAUUUAUUAAUUGUUCAGACUUAAUUUAUAAUUCUAUAAGAUAAUGUGAACUUAUUAUAACUAUCUUAUCAAAAUGAGGUGGGAUUGCAAGAAUAAUGAGUAGAAAUAUCCCCAACCGAUAAAAUAAAAAGAAUUUUACAGCUAUACAAAUGCAAAUAUGUAGAACGUACCUUGUAGGUUGUUAUAAGCUAGAUUCAGAUACAAAAGAUUGCUAAAAUUUCCUAUCGCUGAAGGAAUAUUUCCAUCAAUGACGUUGUACGUUGCGUGUAACGCCUUCAGCCUCGAUUAAUUGAAGAGAGAAUUUGGGAUUGGACCCGUGAAACUGUUAUUACGAAGACUCAACACUUGUAAUUUGGAUAAGACGCCAAUCCAUGUUGCAAUGCUCCCACUCAAUUUAUUGAAAGUGAAACUAAUGAAUAUGAGUCGGCGUAAUUGCCCCAAUUCAUUAGGUAGAUUGCCAAGAAAAUUGUUCAGGCUAACAUCAAGAGAUUCAAAUGAAUUUUUGAUGGCGCGAACCGCAAGAAAUGCCAAUCCAGGUACACAUUGGAUAAGAUAUAGACCAAUUAUUUGUCAGGAUACUUCGAUAAUCAACGACACGGGCUUUGCAUGCAAGAAGAGCCGAUUGAUCGGUUGUUAAGAUGCAAUAGUGAGUAGUGAAAGUGGUUUGAGGUGGAGAUGCACCGGGAUCUACGGCCAUCCUGAGUUCAGCCAGAAGCAUAAUACUUGGACUCUCAUGAAAAGGUUAGCCAGCCUAUUUUCCUAUCCUUGGUGCUGUUUUGGUGAUUUUCAAUGAGAUAAUGCAUAUGCAUGAGAAAAACGGGGGCAAUGAGAGAAACCUGAAUAGGGUUGCCGAGUUUAGGGAAGCUGUGCAAAGCUGCAAUUUGCAGGAUAUGGGGUGUAAGGGAUAUCCCUAUACGUGGUCAAACAAAAGAUACAGAGAUCAUUUUAUUGAUGAGAGAUUGGACCGUUUUCUGUGUAGUAAAGAUUGGGGGAUUAAUUUUCAAGAAUCUGUAGGCACAAAUCUAGUGAACUGGUCUUCGGACCACUGCCCAAUCAUUCUAGAUUUCCAUGAGCGAAGCCAAAAUUCGAGACAUGCGGGCAAAUCUCUCCCCCGAGAUUAUUAUGAGGAUAUGUGGAGCUCCCACGAAGGCUGUAGGAGUAUAGUCCAGGAAGAGUGGAGCCGGUAUGGGGCUAGAGCUUGGGAAGCCCCUGUUCAGCAAUUUCAAUGAAUAGCCAAAUCUUCCUUGGCCCAGCUAAAACUUUAGAGCAAAACCGAAUUUCAUGGUAGGCAAAGAAAGUAAGAAAAGCUUAUGCAGAGCCUCCAGGAUGCUAUGAGAGGGAAUUCAAAGCUGGAUGAUGGCCAGGAAAUUAGGAGAUUGGAAAGUCAGAUUAACUCUAUGCUAGUUGAUGAGGAGAUUUACUAGAAACAGCGUUCGAGGGCCGACUGGCUUAGAGAAGGGGAUAAGAACACGAAGUAUUUUCACGCCAAAGCAUCUGCCCGCAAAAGGAAGAACAAGGUGUGGGGGAUUGAGAAUGACCAGGGCAUUUGGUUGAAGGAAAGGGAUGAAAUAGAGGAGGAGAUUUGCAGCCAUUUCCAAAAGCUUUUCACUACUUCCAGCCCGACUCCAAGCCAAAUCCAAGCAACCCUUCAAGGCAUGACAACAAAAGUAACUCCGGAGAUGAAUGUUCAGCUGGAGAAGCCGUUCACCGCUGAAGAUGUUGAGGAAGCCCUUGCCAACAUGUGUCCCACAAAGGCCCCAGGGCCUGAUGGUCUUCCAGCUGCCUUCUUCCAGAAGCAUUGGAAAUCUGUCCGUAACAGAGUGAUCUCAACGUGCCUUAAUGUCCUUAAUGAGCAAGGUAACCCAUCUACCCUCAAUCACACCUUUAUAGCUUUGAUUCCAAAAAUUGCAAAUCCUAGGAAAGUGAGUGAUUAUAGACCUAUCAGCCUCUGUAAUGUUAUUUAUAGAGUUGUAGCUAAGGCCAUUGCAAAUAGAAUGAAGCCGAUCUUUUCCCAAAUCAUCUCCCCUAUGCAAAGUGCAUUCAUCCCCAAUAGGCUCAUUACCGACAAUGUUAUUAUUGGUUAUGAAUGCCUUCAUAAAAUUAGGCAUAGCAAAGGGAAGAAGAACGGACUUGUAGCUUUAAAAUUGGAUAUAAGUAAGGCUUAUGAUAGAGUUGAGUGGCCUUUUUUGGAACAAACUAUGCUAAAGAUGGGGUUUCCUAGUAAUUGGGUAGCUCUGAUAAUGAGAUGUGUUAUUUCCACUUCAUUCUCGGUGCUAAUUAAUGGUGUGCCAAAAGGAAUGAUCCAGCCAAAAAGAGGCUUGCGACAGGGCUGCCCGCUAUCCCCGUACCUUUUUAUCCUUUGUGCAGAGGCUCUCUCCAAUUUGCUGGUUGUGGCAGAACAGAACCAGCUAAUCCAAGGGCUCAAAUUUGCGCGGGAAGUUUCAAUUACGCACUUGCUGUUUGCGGACGAUAGCUUGGUAUUCUCUCGUGCAUCAGUGGCUGAAUGCAGGCAUUUAAAAGAAAUGUUUGAUAAAUAUGCUGCAGCAUCAGGGCAGAUUUUUAAUUUUCAGAAAUCCUCACUGUUCUUCAGUGGAAAAAUUCCAGAGCAUCAACGGGCUGCUAUAAGGGGUAUCUUUAAUCUAAAUGUAGUCUCAAAGCAUGAGAAAUACCUUGGCCUACCAUCAAUGAUUGGGAGAAAGAAGAUGGGGUUCUGUAACGACAUCAAGCUGAAAGUGUUGAACAAGAUUGCAGGAUGGCAGCAUAAAAUGUUGUCUAGUGGGGGGAAGGAAGUUCUGAUCAAAGCGGCAGCCCAAGCAAUUCCGGCGUAUGCAAUGAGUGUUUUCAAGCUCCCAAGAGGCUUUUGUGAUGAUAUUCAGCGAGCUAUAGCGAAGUUCUGGUGGGGCUCGAAAGGGGAUAAGCACGGAAUCCAUUGGCGAAAAUGGGAGAAGCUCAGCCAGGCAAAGAUUAGAGGGGGGCGGGGAUUUCGAGAGUUUUCUUGCUUCAAUCAAGCGCUGGUAGCUAAGCAAGCUUGGAGGUUACUGCAGUACCCAAAUUCGCUGGUCUCCAAAGUCCUUCAAGCAAGAUAUUUCAGGAAUUCCAGCUUUUUAUGUGCAAAGGCAGGAGCCAAUGCCUCGUAUAUUUGGAGAAGCAUCAUGUGGGGUAGGCAGGUGAUUAAGAAGGGUAUGAGAUGGCAGAUAGGUAAUGGCAAGAAGGUAGCAAUUUUCUCGGAUAACUGGCUGCCAAGACCAGAGACCUUCAGACCUAUCUUCCCUCCAUCUUUGCCCGUAAGCUCAGUUGUUGCAGAUUUAAUUAAGGCUGAUAAUCAAUGGGAUGAAAUAAAGCUUCGACAGCACUUCAUGGAUGUAGACACAGCAGAGAUCCUCAAGAUUCCCCUCCCAACUGAGAAAGAAGAAGAUGGAGUGCUUUGGGAUUACGACAAAAGAGGGAACUACUCUGUCAAGAGUGGGUAUCAGCUAGCAUUGAGAUCAAAAUUUCCAGAUUCCACCAGCUGCACAGAGGCUUCCCACAAGUACUGGAGUGCCCUUUGGACACUGGAGUUGCCUGCGAAGCUUAAAAUUUUCAUGUGGAGGGCCUCUAAUAAUCUGCUUCCAUCGGUGGAAAAUCUGUGGAAAAGGAAGGUAGUGGAGGAGCCAACUUGUAAGCGAUGCAAACUGAGUGUUGAGACUAUCAGCCAUGCUCUCUUGGAGUGUAAGGUAGCGAGAAAAAUUUGGCUCCAAUCCCCCUUUUCAGGCCUUAGAUUAGAAGCCAAUUCUCAGGACAUUUUCAGCACUUUGCAAAAUAUGGCUAAGGAGAUGAGGAAAUCAGAUCUGGAAUUAAUGGUAGCUCUGUGUUGGUCUGCCUGGUAUGCUAGGAACAAAUGUAUCUUCGAUGGCAGGGAGAUUAAUCCUAUUAUAUCAGCUGCUAAAGCGGAGUCUGUUUUGUCAGCUUUUCAGAGAGUUAGGAAGCCCCAGCAAGCUCACAUCUCUAUCUUCAUAAAAGAGAAGCAGCAGGAGUGGCUCCCCCCUCCCCCGAAUGUUUUUAAAGUUAAUGUGGAUGCUGCUCUUAAUUCAAAGAAUCUGAGUGCAGGAGUGGGAACUGUGAUUAGAGACUCUAAUGGAAAGAUAGUUGCGGCUGGGGUAAAUCAGAACCUCCUAAAGGGGUCAGCUAGCUUGGCUGAAGCAGAGGCGGUGCUUUGGGGCCUUCAGCUGGCGAGAAAGGCGGAUGUAUCCUCUUUGAUUAUUGAGUCUGAUUGUUUAGAGGUGGUCCAGCUAGUGAACAACACCAAGGGCAGCAGAUCAGAAAUUUUUUGGACAAUUCUGGCAAUCCAAAACCAGAUGAAGAACUUCCAGAAAGUGGUUGUCAAUCACAUUCCAAGACAUUGUAAUGCUUGUGCCCAUUACCUAGCUAAGAUAGCUUUGGGGAAAAUCUCUCCCUGUAUGUGGCUGGGAAAUAUUCCAGCUGAAUUGUAUGGUAUUAUCAAGGUGUUGUGAUUAAUGAAAGGUUUACUUUCUUUUCAAAAAAAAGAAGAAUGAUAAGCGCAUAUUGGUCUUUUUUUUUAGAUGCGUCCAUCUAAUUGCUAAGUGAAGUUGAUACAAGUUUUAAGUGAAGGAAAUUAGCAUAUGCAUAUACAAGAGGCGUAUGAAUUUUGAUAACAAGAAAAGAAAACAAUAUACAGGAGAGUGGAGGCUUGCAAAUUGUUAUAUUUCAUUAUUUAGCGAGUCGUCCGAGUAAACGCGUAUAGACUUUUAAAUUGUUAUACGCCGCCGUACUUGAACCGUGAAUAAAGGGCUUAUGGCACUUGAGUUACCAAAAAGAAGAAGAUGCUCAACAUUGGCAAGGCCUAUGCAUUCUGUCCAUUUGUUCACGUUUUGCCGAGGCUCAUGGCAACCACAAUAUGUUCUUUUUCUUUCCUCUAAAAAACAAAAAGACGACCUUCACAUUUGGGCUAAUAAUUAUCACUAAACAAUUAAUAAUGCUGAGGGCUAGUGGUAAUGUAGCUUUAAAAUAAUUGUUAUUAGUUGCGCCUUAAAAAUAAAGAAAUAAAGAUAGUUAUACUAUACCCCCACAAUUUAAUAAAAUAAUCAUGUAAAUUUCUAAACUUUUAACAAUAUACACCAAGACCCCUUAUGUUACUUUUUACCAUUUAUUUGGAUGUCACAUGCUUUUUUUUUUUUUUUUUUAAAUUUUUCACUGCAGAAAUUAAAUGCUAAAUUUACUGUUAUUCCCAUAUCAUGUCAUCGCUUGCUUCUACACAUAUUGAUUGUUUUUCCAAAGUUUAAAAUUGAAUUAAAAACAUUCUAAUUAACCUAAAAAUUAAAAAAAAAACUCAUCCAACCAGAUAUAAAUCUUCUAAUUAACCUAAAGAUAAGCUACACCCCCAUAUUAAUUCCAAUUAAAUAAAUCUUCAUUUUUGUCAUGGUUUUGGAUCUCGAGCAGGGUGGAUACAUCCAACCAGAUCCGCCCCAUUGGCAUUCCAAUAUAUUAUGGAAUUGGAAGAGUAUCAAUGACUUAAUUUGUAAUUUUAAAUUUGUAACGUAUAAUUCUAAUUUAAGGAUUCAAAUUAAUUUAUGCGGAUCUAAAAGGGGACUGAUGAUGGGCAUGCAUACAUACAUGCAUACAUAUAUUUACAUAGAGAGAGAGAGAGUGAGGUAAUAUAACAUUCUUCUUGAUGAAGAUUUUUGUGCCAUACGCAUUAAAGAGAGUAUUGUGUCGAUGUUGGAGGCUAGAGGGACAAGUGGUUACAUUGCUUCAGAGGUGUUUAGUAGAAACUUUGGUGAGGCAUCACAUAAUUUAAACUACUAGAUUUAGCGAGAUAUAUAUAUUUUCCACAUUGGAUUUACAAGCAUUUGGAGCAGGAUAAUGAAUUUAAAUUACUCGGAAUUGUAAACAGCGGAAAGUGAAAUUGCUAAGAAGAUGAAUAUUGUUGUUUUGUGGUGUAUACGGACUCGUCCAUCGGAUAGGUCGCCCAUGAACAGAGUGAUAGAAAUGUUAUUGCAAAGAAGCAGACUGACUAGCAGUGACGCUUUGAAUAAAUCCACCAAACAUCUUCUCCUACAAGACCACCAAUAUAUUCUUCCACCAUUCAACGUCGUGAUGUGGGGAUCAGAAUUGAAUUAUAGGAUGCUUGUAAGUUUCCUUUGUGGAACUUGUGAAUUUGUGAUGGCAAAAGUCAAUGAUGCAUGUAACUAGCCGGCCCGUGUAGAGGCCGUUUGACUCAUAAAUAUUUGUCACUUUCACUCUUUUUCAAAACCCAAAAGCACGCUAAAGCUUAAUCUAAAAAGAAUUUUUGAUUUAGUGCUGACAUUUUGGGCUCACCUUUGAGUAAUGUUUUACCACGCAUGCAUUUAUGUCAUUGUGCGGUCAUCCUUUACUUCUAAAGAUCGUAAUCUUUAAGAAAAAAUUACUUCUUUUGAAAGUGAAAGCAGGCCAGCUAUUGGCGUAUUGCAUUGAAGCUGCUAUGUGUAGUAGUCAAUUCUUGGAAAGAACUAGUUUUCUUAAAUUGUAAAUGGUCCCCUUUAUGACUGGGAGAUUUUGAACAAAAUUAAUAUGAUGAAUUCUUAGCAAGUGUUGUUCCUUGAAGUCUCAUCUUUCACAAUGUUUUUGAAAUAAAGAUAUUACCAUCUCUGACUAAAGAUUUACUCUUGAUUUGGACCACCUAAUCUGAACUUGAUGGAUGAUUAUGAUCUUGCCUAAUUUUAUGGAUGUGGUCUUAUCUCACGUAAGUCAGUAAUGAAUUAAUUAAAGUUUACUGUCAAAUUAUGAACUGAAAAACUGCUGCUACUUCAUUAUUCACAAUGCCCAAAUUCAGUGCAGAACUGAUUAUAAGUUUUCCGAAAGUUUUACGCUUUCUUUCCCCCAAAUCCCAAGUACUUCCUGUAAUAUCAUUCCCCUAUAGAUGUCUUCCCCUGAGACAUUUUUAACUUUGGUUCAGGGUAACAAAGCUAUAGCUUUUCCUGUCGUGUGCAACAAGCUAUUAAAUUAGAGUAUUUAUUUCUGUAUUACUACUAGUAGUAAGAGAGGCGAAAUGGAAUCUUGAAUUCAUGUUUAUACAACAGUUUGUUUAUAAAUAAAUGAGUUGAUAACAAGUCAUUUUAAAUAUUUGCAAAAAAAAAAACGGUGAGUGAUGUCUAGUUCUAUUUUCAAUGUUCAGAGUCGAAUUUUGAUUACUGAAAAUUUUAAUUUAUGAAGUUGAACUAAGAAUUUGUUAUAAUAUAUUCCACCUUCCUAUACAGUCAUCUGGAAUAAUAAUAUAUCAAAAACAGUAAUAACUUGAUUUACAGGGUGAGAAAGAAAAGAAAGACGCUACGAGGGAAGCAGAGAUUCAAAGACUUCGCUACUUUGUUGGAGGAACAAUUUCAUAAAUCUCCAGAAUAUUGACAUAAAACACAGAACAUAUCUAGCAUUAAGUAUAUUUAUGUAUGUCCAAAGAUAAAAAUUCGAAGAUUAGAUUUAUCAUUUCAAUUUAUGUUCCGCCCAAAGCAAUGGCUUUUAUUCCACAAGCACAAACAAGAAAGAGUACACAAAGUUAACAAACACACAUGUUGAUGCGAGAUUCUGGUUGUCCUCGUUCUACGACCAGGGUCUCUGCUCGAUCAACUUCACCACGACCAGGAUCUCUCCUCGUAAAGCUUCUUCUCCAGAGGUUCCUGCGCACACAGACAGGUCAGAGUACGCCGGUUUUUUUCCCGGCGCAAACCCUCCAACGCUCAAGUCAGAAAUAGGGGUUCUGGGAAUGUUUGCCACGAAUCUUAUGGCUUCUUUUUAAUCUCAGUUCUCGGAACUUUCUUUUCUUAGUUCUAAUAGCAAAAAGUCUAACCCUUUUACCUUUGCUGGCUACUUUUUUAUAGGCUUCCUCUGAAUCCCGGUCUUCCGUAGUCCACGCCCAUUACUCUUCCCACCCUCGGAUGUGGAUGCCCCAUUGUCGUCAUUGUGGGCGAAUGGAGAUGGACUUCGUGCCUUGAUUCUCGGAUAGGAACGCACGUCUUGCCAACUGUCGUUGACCGGGUCUCCUCGCCUCGACCCCUAGCAGGAAUGGCCUUAUGCCUCUAACAGGAGUUCGUCCUCGUGAAUGGCAUAUUUGUGGACGAGCAGAAUAUUCCUGCUCCUGUUCCCUUGCUACCAGGCUCUUACAGGACAUACCUGUUCGCAGAACUCUGCCACCAAAUAUAUGCUCAUCAUGUCUGGUCUCGUCGAAGUAUUUCCCUCAAACACCGGUCCCCCAGUUUCUGGUGUUGGGUAAUGUAAUGGACCAGCAGUAGAAACUCAACAGUUCUUGCUCGCGUGAGACUUGAAAAGGCUGCCAAGAGUCGUGUCGCAUUUAAUUGCGGAUGCAGUGAUGUGGCAGAAAUCUACCCCUUCGUUUGAAUUUCAAACCUACGGUUGCAAGAUUCUCAGAAUCUGCGUCAUUAAAUGCUGGCAGCCCAAAAGUUUGCUUCUCAGUAAGAAAACCCAAAAUCCUCAAACACGAACUCGUCAUUUUCUCCAUUCCUGUCUCUCCGGCUAAUGAACCUCGGCAUUAAAGCUUUCAUCCCUGUCUCUCUCUGAGCGAGUCCCUGCUUCAGGUAUUUCUUCUAUCUUCACGGUCUCGGUUAGUUGUAGAUAAUUUCUUUUCUCUUUGCUUUGCUUGGGGUAGUAUCUGGUAGUGGUGUUUUGGUUAUAACCUAGGGAAUGUCGAAGGGUAAGGAGAAAGUCGUUGAUAUUGAUGACGACGAACUAGGUUUCUUGCCUAGUCUGCUCACUGAUUCUGCUUUUGGCCCCGGGAUCCCCUUAGAGCCCACUAGGUCUAGUGUUGGGACUAGCGCUAGGAGGAUGUCCCCCCAAACAACCUCCACGAGCGGAAGUAGUGGCGAGGAGGGACCUUCUGGCUCGGAAGACACCCUAAGUGAGGAUCAAUGAGGUGACUCUGGUGAGGGAUCUUCACCGGGAACACUGCGACCAGAAGGGUGUAGUACAGUAGGAGGUAGAGCCUUGUCGCGGGAUUAUGCUAUUGAUUACAUGACCUGCACGACCACAUUCAACGAGCUGGAUGACCUCCGGCUCAGGUAUCAUAUUCCUGGUGAGGUACUCCUUAGGAUCCCAGGAAAGAAAGAUAGUCUUAGCAGGCCUCCUAGGGGAUUUGUCACCUUGUUCUUGGAGAGUUUUAAGUACGGGCUAAGGUGCCCCUUGCAACUCUAUUUUGCUCGCAUACUCCACGGGCUCAAUCUAGCUCCUGGUCAGUUGAACCCCAAUGGGUGGAGGGUGCUCUUUGGUCUGUUCAUAUUGUGGGACAGAUGUUGCCAAAGCGAGCCCACGGUUGAUGAGGUGAAGCACCUGUACCAGCUAAGGAGUAGCCCCAAAGAUGCCGGCUGGUACUACUUCCAAUCUAGUACCAAGAGUAGGAAACCCAUAACUGAUCUUCCAACUGGUGGUGGUGGGACUUGGAAGAGGAAAUUCUUUUUUGCUGGGGGUCCUUGAGGUCAAGUUGCACAAAUAGACGGGAAGGAUUGUCGCGUCCCACCCCGUUUCACGGUCCCAGGUUGCCUGCUCACUUUAGAUGUCUUGUAUCCAUAAUUGUUCUUACUUUAUUGGUUUGUCUCUAACCAAGUGUCUGUUUGUGUUGUAGUUUCUUGGGGUGUUCAUUUUCCGCUCAAACCUGAUCAGCUCAAACGGGUCGAGGCUGUACUAGCCAACUCCUGCCCGAGCCGAGAACUGAUAACUAUUUAUAACUUCCUCGAGUCUCGCUUGGUACUCCCUGGCCAUAAGAUGGAGGACGCUGUGAUUGGGGCUCUGAACAGGAAACGUUCUCGACCUCAAAACACGAAGAGGGACCAGAACAAGGACGCCCCUAGGGCAAAGCGGACCAACAUCGUGCAGCAAGUCUCUCCCUUGAAGACUUUACCUCCUGCUCCUGCCAAAGUCAGCGAAACUAGUGGAGCAGCCACAGAUCCUGCUUCCUCUUCUCCUCCUGUCGGGCCUCGAUCUCGCUUUCCUGACAGCCGAGCAGAACACUUGGUCCCCUAUCUCAAUGAGUUAUCUAAACUCGUGAGCAAGAAGGACCUGGAGGACUUUAAUGGCUGCACCCUGGGCGAGCUGGUAGGAGCCAUGCAGUAUAGUGCUUUCCAUCUCAGCUGCAUGACCACCUAUUAUAAGGCUAAGGUUGGCCGUUAUGACAGGAAGAUGAAGGAGGACAUUCAAUCAGCGAUGACCAGAGCUGACGCCGCCGAGAAGAAAGCAGGAGAGCUAAAUGUCGAGAACCUGAAGCUGAUAGAGCAAGAAUCUCUUGCUCAAGCAAAAGCCAUUACCCUCGAGGAGGAGCUGACCAAGGUCAAGGAGGAUCUUCAAAGGCAGAAGGCAAUGUAUGAGGCUCAGCUCGAAUCUCUCCGCGAUUCCCAUCGAGCUCAGGUCGAGAACUUGGAGAAGGAGGCCGACAACCAGUACGACCAGGGACUUCGGCAUUCCUAUCGUUGCAUCAUGGCCGUCCUCGGGAAGCAGCAUCCUGAUCUAAAGAUGGACGACCUUGCAGCUGGUGUCGCCCAACAUAUGGACGAGGAGGCUGCAAAGGAGGAUGCCGAAGGGGUAGACGCAAUCGUGAUUGAGGAGGAAAACUCUCCUCCUCAUGUAGACCCUGCUGACGUUGGCGAGGCGAGCACCCCCCCGGACGCAACUGGUGAUACCCCCCCUGCACCUGAGGAGGUCCAGCCAACCGAUGCUGCUCGGCAUACUGAUCCGCCAUCUUCUUGAACUUAUCUUGUGCUGUAAUUGCUUUUUGAAUAUUCUAUAUAACAGCUUUGUAAACUUUUAAGAGCUUAAUAAGAUUGUUCUUAUUUGCUUCCUCGCAUUGGUAUUUUAAUUUAUUUAUCUAUUUGGCUUCUGUCCUCGUCACAGAGGAGGCCUUGAAGUUUGACGAGCCUUUGCCUGUCUUGGAUAAUUUCUUCAAUGAUUGGGAUUCUGCUCGCCUUCGCGUGGUCGAGCAGAUCCUGGCACGCUUGGCUUUUGGUCUCGCCAUAAACAGGCUUUGAGACUCGACGAGCCUUUGCAUGCCUUAGUUUCUUCAAGGAUUGGGAUUCUGCUCGCCUUCGUGUGGUCGAGCAGAUCCUGGCACGCUUGGCUUCUGGUCUCGCCAUAAACAGGCUUUGAGACUUGACGAGCCUUUGCAUGCCUUAGUUUCUUCAAGGAUUGGGAUUCUGCUCGCCUUCGCGUGGUCGAACAGAUCCUGGCACGCUUGGCUUCUGGUCUCGCCAUAAACAGGCUUUGAGACUCGACGAGCCUUUGCAUGCCUUAGUUUCUUCAAGGAUUGGGAUUCUGCUCGCCUUCGCGUGGUCGAGCAGAUCCUGGCACGCUUGGCUUCUGGUCUCGCCAUAAACAGGCUUUGAGACUUGACGAGCCUUUGCAUGCCUUAGUUUCUUCAAGGAUUGGGAUUCUGCUCGCCUUCGCGUGGUCGAGCAGAUCCUGGCACGCUUGGCUUCUGGUCUCGCCAUAAACAGGCUUUGAGACUUGACGAGCGUUUACAUGCCUUCAAUUCUUCAAGGAUUGGGAUUCUGCUCGCCUUCGCAUGGUCGAGCAGAUCUUGGCACGCUUGGCUUCUGGUCUCGCCAUAAACAGGCUUUGAGACUUGACGAGCCUUUGCAUGCCUUCAAUUCUUCAAGGAUUGGGAUUCUGCUCACCUUCGCGUGGUCGAGCAGAUCCUGGCACGCUUGGCUUCUGGUCUCGCCAUAAACAGGCUUUGAGACUUGACGAGCCUUUGCAUGCCUUCAAUUCUUCAAGGAUUGGGAUUCUGCUCGCCUUCGCGUGGUCGAGCAGAUCCUGGCACGCUUGGCUUCUGGUCCCGCCAUAAACAAGCUUUGAGACUUGGUGAGCCUUUGCAUGCCUUUGAUAAUUUCUGGAAAGCUUAGGAUUCUGCUCACCUUCUCGUGGUCGAGCAGAUCCUGGCACGCUUGGCUUCUGGUCUCGCCAUAAACAGGCUUUGAGACUUGGUAAGCCUUUGCAUGCCUUUGAUAAUUUCUUGAACAGUGUAGUUGAUUCAAACUCCUCAUUGAUUCAUUUAUUAUUGAAUUCGGCUUACAUGAGGUUGCUUUGAAAUAAGAAAUAAAAAAAUAGAAAACAACAGACAUGAACAGAAAAAAAACUUUAAAACAUGAGUAAGUCUUACUAGAAAUAUUUCCUGAGGUGUGCCGCGCUCUAGGGGCGUUUCACCUCGUGGCCCUCCGUGCGAACCAACUUGUAAACUCUGGGUCCAACUAGCUGCCAUUCCUGGCUUCCACUCGGGUAUCAAAGGAUGUUAUCUGCAUUGCUUCCUUUGUUGCCGAGGAGUAACAGCUUCGUGCGAUUCUCUGGUCUCCUCGUACCACUCCAACUACCCCAUUCACCCGGUACUUGAGAGCCAGAUAAUGGUUGGACAGCACCGCUUUGCUCAUCCUCAGAAAUGGCCGGCCUAGGAUCAUCUGAUAAGGACCUUCCUCAUCCACUACCACAAAGUCCAGUAUCAUUGUCCUUUCUGUCGGGGAGCUCCCAAUCGUGAUAAGUAGCUCGACCACGCCCAGAGGGACCAACUUUCCUCCUCCAAACCCCUUCAAGGAGGUAUUGGUGUAAUCCAACUUCAGGUCUGCUAUUCCCAUUUCCUCCAGGGUUGACUUAAACAACACAUCAACUGAGCUCCCUGUGUCAACCAGUAUCCUGUCAAACUUCUUGCUGGCAACAGUGGCCUUGAUGACCAAAGCAUCCUCGUGGGGGUAUAGAAUCCCUUCUUCAUCCUCAUCUGUCCACAUGAUUGGCACUUGCCUGACUCUUGCACAUUUGGCUGCUGGGGUGUUGAAGAAUACAUCUUUGCUGGUCAUGGCGUAUCUAGCGUAAUUCUUCCUCGACCUGUUGGAAUCUCCGGCCAAUGUUGGGCCCCCAGCUAUCACCCUUAGUGCAGGAUGCUCGCGCCUCAGGUUUCUAUCACUCUGCUCCCCUUCAUAUGUCGAGGCCACCAUCGGGAAAGUCCCAUCUACAAACUCGUCCAGGUACCGAUUUCUCACCAAAUCUUCAACCUGGGUCUUGAGAUCUCUGCAUUCUGCGGUGGUAUGGCCAUGAGUGCCAUGGAACUUACAAUGGCGUCCCCUAUCCCUCCUGCCGGGUAGCUUUGUUAUUGGGGCAGGGAGGUACAGCAGUCCUCGGUCCUUUAUGGCCUCGUAUACUUCAUCUAGGGACAUCUUCAAGGACGUGUAUCGCCCAUACUCCUGGUUCUGGUCGAUCAGGUGCACGGCCCUUUCUCUAUUUGCUCCGUUCUGAGUUGGAGGCGAUGACAGCAUUUCUGGUCUGCUCCCUCUACUACCGUGGGAGUGUUGAUGAAGACCACCAUAUGUCGAAUCAUGCCUUCUCCAAGGCUCCCUAGCUGGGGAACGAGGAGGGUGCGCCCUGCUGCGCUGAUACUGUGGUGGCCUCUGAUGAGGCUGGUGAGCUGUUACCCGACCUCCUGCUCCACUACCUGAGGCCUGGAGGUCCCUCCUCCUGAUCGGCCAAUUUCCCAGUAAUGCCCUCUUUUCUUUCUUUUCCAACCCCUCCAGCUGGUCUGUCUUAAUCCGAGCUGCCUUUUCUUCCUCGAUCUCUAUGUCUCUUUUAGCUUGCUCGUAUGCGGCUGCAUACGUCUGAAUAGCUGGGCUUCUCAAGUUGUACCACAGCCUUCCUAUCUUCACUCCCUCUUUCAAUCCCCUUAGUGCCUGAGGAUGGUCGAAGGCUCCCAAAUCGAGGACAGCACGAUGAAACCUCUUGAUGAAUUCCCGAAGAGUUUCUUGUUCCCCUUGCUUCAUGCUUUUCAACUCCAUCAUGUCAUCUUCUAGUGCCAUUGCCCCACGAAACUGCUCUGCAAACUCCUGGCACAUCUGCUCGAAGGUUUUAAUGCUCCUCCCCCGAGGAAGUUUUCUGUACCACUCUCGUGCACGUCCCUCAAGGGAUAGUGGGAACACCCUGCCUGCACCUUUGGGAUUGAGAUAAUCCUUGUACCCCAAUUAUGUCGUUGAAGCGCUCUAUGUGCACCAGCGGAUCUGUUCGUCCCGAAUAUCUAAGGUCUGGGAGGCGGAAAUCUCUCGGAAUAACUGCCCUCAUGAUCUCUGCUGCGAGCGGUGAUUCUCCAUCUAGCAUUAUCCUCCAACCAGGAGCUCUGCUCCUUCCUUGCAUGUCGUCAAUUAUCUGCGCUAGUCUGCGCACUUCCUCCUCCAGCUGCACUGCACGACCAGGGUCACGUGCUGCAACUUGAUCCCGCUCUUGCUCUACAUCAAGCAAGUGUUGCCUCAACUCUGUUUCCUCUGCAUUUGCCACCCCGUCGUCCUCGUCAAAAAUCUGUCUUGCCGGGAAUUGCUCUUCCUCUCUACGGAAUUCUCCCCGCAGAGGUAUGUUACCUCUCUCACCACCAAAUCUCCCGGUGGUUUGACUUCUCCUCGUACUAUCGGGACCUAGUGCCACUCCACCAACUCUCAUCCUUUCCUCCUGGGUUACCCUUCGUUCACUCCGCAACUCAUGCAGGAUGGUUGUCAGGGUCUCCAUCUGCUUUUCCAUUCGUUCCAUUCGGUCGAACAUGGCUUUUUCCCGUGCUUCACUGGCUAUCUCCCUCAGAGUCACGGAAUCGUUAAGCCUCAUAUCACCCCCUUGUGCACUACUUCCUCCUGUCUCCAUUGCUUUUCACUUGCUUCACUCCUCUUCUUGCUAUCAACAGAAGCUUUUUGAUCAGCUCCCCACAGACGGCGCCAAAAUAUUGAUGCGAGAUUCUGGUUGUCCUCGUUCUACGACCAGGGUCUCUGCUCGAUCAACUUCACCACGACCAGGAUCUCUCCUCGUAAAGCUUCUUCUCCAGAGGUUCCUGCGCACACAGACAGGUCAGAGUACGCCGGUUGUUUUCCCGGCGCAAACCCUCCGACGCUCAAGUCAGAAAUAGGGGUUCUGGGAAUGUUUGCCACUAAUCUUAUGGCUUCUUUUUAAUCUCAGUUCUCGGAACUUUCUUUUCUUAGUUCUAAUAGCAAAAAGUCUAACCCUUUUACCUUCGCUGGCUACCUUUUUAUAGGCUUCCUUUGAAUCCCGGUCUUCCGUAGUCCACGCCCAUUAGUCUUCCCACCCUCGGAUGUGGAUGCCCCAUUGUCGUCAUUGUGGGCGAAUGGAGAUGGACUUCGUGCCUUGAUUCUCGGAUAGGAACGCACGUCUUGCCAACUGUCGUUGACCGGGUCUCCUCGCCUCGACCCCUAGCAGGAAUGGCCUUAUGCCUCUAACAGGAGUUCGUCCUCGUGAAUGGCAUAUUUGUGGACGAGCAGAAUAUUCCUGCUCCUGUUCCCUUGCUACCAGGCUCUUACAGGACAUACCUGUUCGCAGAACUCUGCCACCAAAUAUAUGCUCAUCAUGUCUGGUCUCGUCGAAGUAUUUCCCUCAAACAACACAUAGCAAACAUGACAUUAACUACUUGCAGCAGCAUCAUCCAGAAACUUCACUAUAAUCUUCUUGAGCUUUUCAGCGGCAUCUUUCGUAGAUGCCCUUUGUUUUGGUGACUCCAUGCAAAAAUCCAAUGCCGAAUGCAUGAUGCUUAAUAAACAAUUCAUUUUAUUAGUACAUUGGAUAUAAUCGAAGGCAGAGUAUAUUUCAGGACAAGUAGAGUAGCAUUCUUGGAUCCUUUGCUAUUAUCUUCUUUGCAAGGUGGGACUUGAGGUCCUGGUGGACAACAUACUGCAUAAUUCUAAAAAAAUUAUUGAGCUGAAAUGUUUUUAAAAGGUCUUUUGAUAGAAACUCCCCCUUCUAGCCUAUUGUGAGACACAUUAAGUUGUUUGAGAUAUAAGAGUGCCUCUAUUGACUUUGGAAUUUCUCCAGAGAAAUUGUUGCUUGGGAGAUCCAAAGAUUCCAACCUUAUCAAACUACCAAAUGAUUUGGGGAUUAGACCAUAAAAUUGGUUUCUAGCCAAGCUAGAUCUUUGGGGCCACCAAUAUUUACUGGCAUAUCACCUGAUAAUUGAUUUCUUGAUAAAUCUAACUCUAUUAAGACCCUUAAGUUUUGUAUAUCACUUGAUAAUUGUUUGUAUUGGGCCUUCUAUUUUCAUUAUAGAAUAAAUUAACUAUUAAUUUUCAUGAGAAAAAUACUUAUUUCCAUAAAAUUAUUCAAGCUUUUAAAAAGAUUUAGAAUUAAAAAUCAAACUUUGUACUGUAGAAAAUUUGCCGGUACGUUCAAUUAGUACUUUGUUUGAGGAAAUAAGAUUAGAAUAGGCUAUAGGUACGGUAGUUAUGCGGUACCUGUUUAAUAACCGUAGUAUAGUAAAUGUUUGACUUUUUUAUUAGAAAUAUAUCAUUAACAAUUUUGUUCGCUAAUUGAAUAGAGAAAGAAAGGGGGGGUGGGGGGGGGGGGAGGGCAAAAAGGUUAACACAUUUCGAAACUACAAACGAUUGCCUUUUCCUAUUAAUAAUGUUUGCGGAUUCUAACAAUUGAAUCUCAAGGUCAUUACAUAGUGAAUUUUAUAGUUAAUAAAAUUAAUAUUCCACAUACUAUCUACUCAAUUAAUGUCACAUUUUUUGAAACUUGAAUGAUCUAUUUGCUACAAUUAGGAGCCAACGUCGUAAUGAAUGUUAAAUUAUGCUGUUUGUUUUGAUUUACUUUUCUAUCUUAGCUCCAAGUGAUUAGCGGAAUGCUGGUCUUGUGAGUAUAAAAUGAACUCCUUAAGUCAAAUUCCUUCUGGGGUGUUGGAGAAAGAACUAAAUACAUGUAAUCUUGCUUUCGGAUAUGGAUUAUCUGAUGGAUGUUGUAUUUUCUAGGUAUUGAGGAGAUUCCUCAUUAUUGAAAAAUUACGUUCCCGAGCAUCAAAAGAUGAUCCCAUAGAAUUGCGUUCUCCUGUGACAAAAGAGGAGCUUGUAGCUGAGGUAUCGAUUUUUAUCUUUCUUGAUUGUUCUUUAUAGUUGUUUCUCAUCAAAAUAGAAAAAGCAGUUUGUUCUGAGUGACCUGUGCGGUCUACUAUCAAUCACUGCCAUUUCUAUCAUUUAGUACUAUUGACUGUGUGUAUAGAUAUUUUGUUUUUGCCAUGUAAUUUCAUGUUUGAUACAUUUCUAAUACAUUGCAUAGCGUUCAUGAACGAGAAUGAUAAACUAACUUUCAGGUGUGUUUAAGUAGAUGAAAAAACUUGGUACAAUUUAGAAGGAUUCACUAAUUUUCCAAUUUGUUUGUAUGGAGAAAUUGAAUAGUUAAUUGAUUAGAGGAUUGCAAAGUGGGUAGGUCCAGCUGGGCAUUGUCAAUAUUAACGAUCGAUGUUUUGAGAAGGUCUGGAGCUGACAUCACGGUUGCGUCUGUGGAGAAACAACUUCGUGUCGACGCGUGUCACGGUGUCAAGAUUGUCGCUGAUGCUCUCGUGUCUGACUGCCGCGACGCCGUUUUUGAUCUUAUAGCUCUUCCCGUAUGUAUUGCAGCUCACCUCAGCUCAUGCCAAUUUAUGUGAUGUUUGUAUAAUUAUAGAUGAUUAUUGCUGAUACUGAAUGUUAAGCUAAAUAAUUCGUUCUUAAGUCAUCUUCAUUUAAUUUUCGAUUGAAAAUGAAAAAAAUAAUAAUUGUAAGCAAAGAAAAAUAUCGAAAAUGUUUAUUUUGUUUUAAUUUUAUUUUUUAAUUUUUUGGGAUUUCCUUAUUGUGGCUGUUAUUAUUCAUUAUAUGGUCCUAGUUAAAUAUUUCAAGUUGUUGUAGUUAGUGAAUUUCUUUUCGAUAUUUAUUCUGGCAUGUAUAUUUUUUCUUUUCAAUUUCUUUUGUUGCUGAUUCUUUGAUUAUGUUAUAUCCUUUUUUGUUUCCCUUGUAGGGUGGCGUGCCUGGUGCUACCAAUCUGAAAGAAUCUGAAGUAUUAGAAAGCAUUGUGAAGAAGCAGGCUUCAGAUGGGCGUCUUAAUGCUGUUAUCUGUGCUUCACCUGCUGAGGCAUUAGGGUCUAGGGGUCUGUUGAAGGGAUUGAAGGUAAGAAUUAGAUAAACCUUUUUGAUGUUCUGUGGUCUUUUGGGAAUUGCACUGAUAUUUUUGUUAUAGUUCAGUUUUCUUCUCGCUGAUGAUUGUUAAGUUCUAAUUUAUGUAGUUGUUCAUUUUUCGUAGGCUACUUGUUAUCCGUCAUUUAUGGAGCAAUUAGCUCCUGCUUGUGCAACAACUGUUGAAUCAAGAGUACCACAGGAUGGUAAAGUUGUUACGAGUCGUGGACCCUGCACUACUAUGGAGUUUGCUGUUGCACUUGUUGAGCAGUUGUAUGGGAAAGAGAGAGCUGAUGAGGUUUCUGGGCCACUGGUAGUAACUUUUAUAGAUAAUGUUGUUUAAAAAAAUUGUGAGUUAUAUAAUUUGUUGAAAUUCAUUCUAAUAGGUUCAUCUGGUAUGUCAAAUUGGAAGGUUCAGAUGCUAAUGUAGUCCAAAAAAUUAGUUCAGGGGAAAAGUAUGACUUUUUGCAUUAGAGAUUUAUUAGAUGAAGUUGUAUACCUACUGGCCCAUCUUAAUAUGGUGAAAACGAUGUAAAAUCGGGAGAGGGGGUUCGGGGGAGAGGGGAAGCCCUCUCCAACCGCAAGGCCGUUAUUCUGACAUGAAUAGAGUAAGGCCUUUACUUUUAUAAAGAAAGGUCCCUGUUUUGCACGUCUCCACUGAUCACAUUCUUUUUAAUGUAAGUUCUUUCUCUUGGUAUUUGUCUUUGAUUUUUCUCUUCCUCAUGCUGUCGUCUGUCAAAAGAUUUGGCUGCAGCAUCUAGAAGUUUUGAAGAAGCAAAAUGGGUCACACGGCUUUGAAGUUCUAGAUGCCGUAAUGUUUGGUAAAAGUAAAAAAAAAUUCAAAGCUCAAAAAUUCAAAGUUCGAAAAACUGAAAUUUUUGAGCUGUAUGGCUUGUAAUUUUAUAGCCACUUUUUUGACUUUUAAGGAAAAGUUUUACCUAUAAAUACAAGCUCUCAAUUUAGAGCUUGCAUCCAAUUUUGUAAAGAGAGUCGAGAGCUGUGAAAAGCAAUUCUUGCAGAGCAGAGAGUUUGUAGAGCUUAAAUAAUAAAAGCUGUUGUUUUAAUGAUUUGAGAGUUUGGAUGUAUUGGGGUUUUGGGAAGUGAGCUAAAAUACUACAAUACUUGUAACUCCUUUUCACUAGUAAAAUAUUUUUCUUCUAUCUUCACCCAUGGACGUAGGUUAAAAGCCGAACCACGUAAUUUCCUGGUGUCCUCUUUGUGCUUCUUCUUGAUUUUUUUUUCCCAAUUUUACUUUAGUUGCGGCCCUGCUUCACCCGCCAAUUUCCUAACAGCGGUAUCAGAGCUAUUAGUUGUAUUAUUUGGAGUCGGGUACUAUUCACAUACGGUACUGUUCACAUAUACGGUACUAUUCAUGUAUACGUUACUAUUCACGUGAAACGGUGGGAGCAAUUCUAGUAUUGGCGAUGCAAAGCAGGGGAAUAGUGUGUGUGAGUGGAGUAAUUGUGUGGUUUUGGACAUGUGUAAGAAAGUUCUGUCACAAAGGCGAUAAGAGCCUAAGGAGUUAGGAUUUUAAGUGGGACUAUUGUGACCCCUCCAGUCUUUCCUGGGAACUUUCUUGGUGUGCUCUCACACAUACUCACAACUAUUCAAGCUGGUACACUAGUUUUGUACAAUAUUUAUCAACAAAAUGGUGGCAAAGUAUGAAAUUGAGAAGUUUAACGGAAAUAAUUUUUCGUUGUGGAAAAUGAAGAUGAAAGUUGUAUUGAAGAAAAAUAAUUGAUUGGCAGCAAUUAGAGAAAGGCCCAUGGAGAUAACUGAUGACAAGUGGAACAAGAUAUAUGGCAACGCCAUUUUUGAUCUACACUUGGCACUUACGGAUGAAGUAUUAUUCAGUGUGGCAGAGAAAACUACAGCGAAGGAAAUAUGGGAUACUCUCACAAAAUUGUACGAGACCAGGUCACUACACAACAAAAUCUUCUUAAAGAGGAAGCUCUAUACUCUUCGAAUGACGGAAUCUACAAUGGUGACCGACCACAUCAAUACCUUGAAGACUCUAUUUUCACAACUCACAACGUUAGGUCAUAAUAUAGAGGAAAAUGAACAUGCAGAGCUUCUACUUCAAAGUCUACCAGAUUCGUAUAAUCAACUCAUCAUCAACCUGACGAAUAAUAAUCCAGCGGACAGUUUGGUUUUCGACGAUGUUGCAGCCUCCGUAUUAAAUGAGGAGAGCAGGCGGAAAAAUAAGAAAAAUAGACAAGCAAGUUUGCAGCAAGCGGAGGCGUUAUCGGCGACGAGAGGGAGAUCAACGGAACGUGGCUGGCCCCAGUGGGAGUCACAAUCGUGGUAGAUCAAAAUCCAGAAGUAAGAAGAAUGUUAAAUGCUACAAUUGUGGUAAGAAAGGGCACGUCAAGAAAGAGUGUUAGAGUAACCAGAAGAGAAAAGAUGGCAAAAAACCUGAGUCAUCAAAUGCUCAGGGGUGUGUAGCAAGUACCUCGGAUGAUGACGAAAUUCUCUACAGCGAGGCAACAACUGUUUCAGAAGGUAGAAAAUGACUAUAUGAUGUCUGGCUUAUAGACUCAGGAGCUACCUGACACAUGACCUAUCGUAGAGAAUGGUUCCACACAUAUGAACAUAUCUCAGGAGAAUAUGCAUAUAUAGGUAAUGAUCAUGCCUUGGAGAUCGUUAGUAUUGGUACUAUCAAAAUAAAAAUAUUUGAUGGUACAAUUCGCACAAUUGAGGAGGUACAACAUAUCAGCGGCCUGAAGAAAAAUCUAUUGUCUUUGGGACAAAUGGAUAGUCAUAGGUACAAAACUCAUGUGGAGAAUGGAAUUAUGUAGAUCGUUAAAGGCGCGCUUGUAUUGAUGAAGGCAGAAAAGAUCAGUGCUAAUUUAUUCAUGCUUAAAGGAGAAACACUACAGGAGGCUGAUGUAUGUGUCGCGUCAAAUGGAGAAGAGUCAACGAUGAUGUGGCAUCUCAAACUUGGCCACAUGUCAGAACAAGGCUAGAAGAUUCUCUCUGAGUGAAAAUUGCUUCCAGGGUUCAAAUCGGUAAGUUUACCAUUUUGCGAGCAUUGUGUUAUAAGUAAGCAACAUAGAUUAAAGUUCAGUAGAUCUAUUACUAGAAGUAAAUGCAUUCUAGAAUUGAUUCAUUCUGAUGUUUAGGAAUCGCCGGAUAUGUCCAUGGGAGGUGCAAAGUACAUGGUGACUUUCAUUGAUGAUUAUUGCAGGAGAUGUUGGGUGUAUUCAAUUAAGAAAAAGUCAGAUGUAUUUCCAGUGUUUAAAGAAUACAAAGCGCGGGUGGAACUUGAAUUUGGUAAAAGGAUCGAGUGCUUGGGGACAAAUAAUGGUGGAGAGUAUACAGACGGCGAGUUUCUUGCUUUCUGUAAGCAAAAAGGUAUUUAGAGGUAGUUAAUGGUAGCAUACACUCCUCAACAAAACGGAGUGGCGAAGCGAAUGAACAUAACUCUUACAAAAAGAAUAAUAGCUAUGUUGAGGACUGCUGGUCUACCCAAUUCAUUCUGGGCAGAAGCAGCCAAAACUGCCUGUUAUAUCGUAAAUCGAUUGCCAUCUACAACAAUUGGGCUGAAGACAGCGAUGGAGAUAUGGACUGGAAAGCUAGCUGAUUACUCAUACCUACAUGCAUUUGGAUGUCCUGUGUACGUGAUGUACAAUGCCCAAGAAAGAAUAAAGCUUGAUCUAAAAUCUAGAAGAUGUAUCUUCUUGGGAUAUACUGAUGGAGUAAAGGGGUAUCGUCUGUAGGACCCCACUGCCCACAAGAUCGUCAUCAGCAGAGAUGUUAUUUUUUGUAGAAGAUCAACUACAAAGGAAAGAUAGAGAUGAUGACACUGUAAAAGAAAAGUCAGAGACUGUGCCAGUAUAUGUGGAAAAUAAUCCAGAAGAUUCAGAUUCUUCUGAAGCAACACCAGAGCAUGAAGAAUAAGAAUCAGUCGAGUUCGAGGCUCCAGAAGUUCGUCGGUUAACUCGUGAAAGACGACCGCCAACGUGACACUCGGAGUAUGUCACAGAGAUCAACGUUGCAUACUGUUUUCUAACAGAGGAUGGAGAGCCUUCAACUUUCCAUAAAUCUUUAAACAGCUCAGAUGUUACUUUAUGGAUGACAACAAUGCAGGAAGCAAUUGAGGCUCUACAUAAGAACAAGACAUUGGAGCUUGUACCACUACUACGUGGAAGAAAAGAUAUUGGAAACAAAUAGAUCUACAAGAUCAAAUGUGAUGGUAAUGACCAAGUGGAACGGUAUCAUGCAAGAUUGGUGGUGAAAUGAUAUGCUCAGAAAGAAGGUAUUGACUUCAACGGAAUAUUUUCUCUGGUGGUUUGACUCACAACAGUCAGAAUAGUCUUGGUAAUGUGUGCUACAUUUGACUUACAUCUUGAGCAGUUAGAUGUGAAAAUUGCAUUUCUUCAUGGAGAACUUGAAGAAGAAAUUUAUAUGCUCCAACCAGAAGGUUUUGCUGAAAAGGGAAAGGAGAACUUGGUUUGCAGGUUGAACAAAUCUUUAUACGGUCUCAAACAGGCACCGAUGUGUUGGUAUAAGAGAUUUGAUUCCUUCAUCAUAAGCCUCAGAUACAAUAGACUCAGCUCAGACCAAUGUGCAUAUUAUAAAAGGUUUGAAGAUAAUGAUUUCAUUAUUUUGAUAUUGUAUGUGGAUGACAUGUUGGUAGCAGGCCCCAACAAAGAUCGAGUCCAAGAAUUGAAGGUAUAAUUGAUUAGGGAGUUUGAAAUAAAGGACUUGGGACUAGAAAAUAAGAUUCUAGGGAUGCAAAUUCACCGAGACAGAAAUAACAGGAAGAUUUGGCUUUCUCAGAAGAACUACUUGAAGAAAAUUUUGCGACGCUUCAACAUGCAAGAUUGUAAGUCAAUUUCUACCCCACUUCCUGUUAAUUUCAAAUUAUCCUUAAGUAUGUGUCUGAGCAAUGAAGCAGAGAAGGAGGAGAUGUCUCGAGUACCGCAUGCAUCAGCAGUGGGAAGUUUGAUGUUCGCUAUGAUAUGUACUGGAUCGGACAUUGCACAAGCAGUGGGAGCAGUCAGUCGGUACAUGGCAAAUCCUAGUGGAGAGUAUUGGAUAACUGUGAAGAAGAUUCUGAGAUACAUCAGAGGAACCUCAGAUGUUGCAUUAUGUUAUGGAGGAUCAGAGUUUACUGUCAGGGGUUAUGUGGAUUCAGAUUUUGUAGGAGACUUUGAUAAAAGAAAAUCCACUAUUGGCUAUAUGUUUACACUUGCAGGAGAAGCUGUAAGCUGAGUUUUGAAACUGCAGACCGUUGUGGUUUUAUCUACAACAGAAGCAGAAUACAUGGCAGCUACACAAGCUUGGAAGGAAGCUAUCUGGAUACAAAGGUUAUUGGAGGAGUUCGGGCACAAACAAGAGAAAAUUUUUGUGUAUUGUGACAGUCAGAGUGCCUUGCAUAUUGUAAGAAAUCCAGCAUUUCAUUCAAGGACAAAGCAUGUAGGAGUUCAGUAUCACUUCGUUCAAGAAGUAGUGGAAGACGGAAGUGUGGAUUUACAGAAAAUCCAUACGAAGGAGAACCUAGCAGAUGUUUUGACCAAGCCGAUAAAUACUGAUAAGUUUGUCUGGAGUAGAUUCUCUUGUGGCCUAGCAGAAACGUAGGCAACAUGACAGUGGCGAAGCAGAAACGAUGGUGUGGAGAUUGAUUGAUCCUCAAUCAAAUCUCCAAGUGGGAGAAUGUCAAAAGAUUUGGCUGCAACAUCUAGAAGCUGCAUCUAGAAGUUUUGAAGAAGCAAAAUGGGUGGCACAUGACUUUGAAGUUCUAGAUGCUGUAAUGUUUAGUAAAAGAAAAAGAAAAAAAUUCAAAGCUAAAAAAUUCAAAGUUUGAAAAUCUAAAAUUUUUGACCUGUAUGGCUUGAAAUUUUAUAGCCACGUUUUUUACUUUUGAGGCAAAGUUUUGCCUAUAAAUACAAGCUCUCAAUUUAGAGCUUGCAUCCAAUUUUGUAAAGAAAGUCGAGAGCUGUUAGAAGCAAUUCUUGCAGAGCAGAGAGUUUGUAGAGCUUAAAUAAUAAAAGCUCUUGUUUUAGUGAUUUGAGAGUUUAGGUGUAUUAGGGUUUUGGGAAGUGAGCUAAAAUACUACAAUACUUGUAACUCUUUUUCACUAGUAAAAUAUUUUCCUUCUGUCUUCGCCCGUAGAAGUAGGCUAAAAGCCGAACCACGUAAUUUCCUGGUGUCCUCUUUGUGCUUGUUCUUUAUUUUUUUUCAAUUUUAUUUUAGCUGCGGCCCUGCUUCACCCACCAAUUUUCUAACAUCGUCUUCACUGUCACCCUGUGCCUAGGUAAUGCGUGCAAAUCAUGGGGUUGAAUACACUAUUGCUGAAUUCAAUCCAAUUCAGUGGACAUUUGACAAUUCUCCCCAGGUGAGAUUGGACUUCUAGUUUCUUGUAUUUGUUUUUCUUCAUCCGAUGUUUUCAGGGAUACCUAUUUGGCAGUAUAUAAAAAUCUGUGAUAUCGUCUAUACAUAUACAUAUACAUCAUUGGCUUCAGUCAUUUGUGAACAUAUUGGUGGUAGUAGAUGUAUUUUUAUGAUAUCUCUAAUAAAAUCCUAAGUUUGAUUAAUUACAAAAGAAGUAUGAGCGGUGCUGGACCGGGGGGGAGGGGGGAGGAGUGGGGUGUCGGUGUGUUGGGGGUGUGCAGUGCAUGAAUAAAAGGAAAUGAUAGGGGGUGAAAGUUUGUGCUACCGACAUGCUGUAAAAUGGGGACACAAUAUUUCAAAUUAGAGAUUGUGAGAUCCUUAAUAUUGCUGACUUGUGCUUAAAAUGGAAUUCUUGAUAACUUCAAAUGUUAAAGUUCUUGGUGAAAUUUUGUACUUUCUUUUCUUUCAGAUUCUUGUGCCUAUUGCAAAUGGUUCAGAGGAGAUGGAAGCUGUUAUGAUAAUUGAUAUUCUGCGACGAGCUAAAGCAAAUGUUGCAGUUGCAUCAGUUGAGGAUAAACUAGAAAUUCUGGCUUCGUCAAAUUAAAUUAGUGGUAGAUGUGCUCAUUGAUGAGGCGGCUAAACUUUCGUAUGAUUUAGUUGUCUUGCCAGUGAGUUGGGGUGCUUACUCUUGCUUCAUAGUCUUUACCACAUUAUUGACUUACUAACUACAAUUUAUCCAUGCACAUUGCACAGGGUGGACUUGGUGGCGCUCAAGCAUUUGCGAAGUCAGAUAAAUUGGUGAAUAUGCUAAAGAAGCAAAAGGAAUCAAAUAGACCUUACGAUGCUAUAUGUGCAUCCCCAGCUUUAGUGUUGGAGCCCCGUGGCUUACUCAAGGUACGACCAUUUCUGCUUAAAUUAUUUACUCAGAUUUGGAUCACCUAAUCUGAACUUGAUGAGAGAUUAUGAUGUUGUAUGAUUUUAUGAAUGUGGUCUUAUCUCAUGUAAGUCAGUGAUGAAUUAAUUGGAGUUUGUUGACAAAUUAGAAGCUGAAAAACUGCUGCUGCUUCGUUAGUUACAUUACCCAAAGAGUUAAAAUUAACAUCACAAAUUUGUUAUCCCAAAUGAUAUGGCAUUUAUUGAGUGAUUGGUAUUAAUUGUAUUAUCUAACCCACCAACAGAUGAAUGCCGCACCAUUUGAGACGAUCUUUUGGGAUAAAAAAUUUGGGAAGUGCAGCAAAUUUUUAUGCCGAUUUUUUUUGGCUUCAUUCAUGUAAACUCCUCCCCCCCCCCCCCCAAAAAAAAAGGAAAACCAGCAAACACCAAAAAAAAAAAAUUCUGAAGUACUUCCCUUAAUAUCAUUCCUGUGUAUUUCUUUUCCCCUCAAGACAUAUUUAACUUUGGUUCAGGGUAAAAAAGCUACAGCUUUUCCUGCCAUGUGCAACAAGCUGUCAGAUCAGAGUGAAAUCGAAAACAGAGUUGUGGUUGAUGGCAACCUCAUCACCAGUAGAGGGCCAGGAACUUCAAUGGAGUUUGCACUGGCAGUUGUGGAGAAGUUUUUUGGCCGCAACAAGGCACUUGAGCUUGCAAAGAUAAUGCUUUUCACUCGCGCCUAACGUUUGUACCGGGACCUGACUACUAUUAAACUAGUGUGUUUAUUUCUGUAUUACUACUGCUUGUAGAGAGGGGAAACGGAAACUUGAAUUCAUGUUUGAAUAUGGAUUCACUGUGUCGGUUUGUACAGCAGUUUGGUUUAUAAAUAAAUGAGUUCAUAGAGUCAUUUCAAAUAUUUGGAAUAAACCUGAGUUUAGUUCUGUUAUCAAUGGUCGGAGUCCAAUUGCGAUCGACUCACUGGGAAUUUUAAUUAUG
rnacentral:lncRNA from 1 species